rnacentral:lncRNA from 1 species
AAGGUUCCGUCCAUUUCUUCUUAUUUUUUUCGGUCAAAAUACGUGAACACCCGGCCCAAACCCAAGGCGAAGAUGAACAGCCCUCACGAUGGUCCUCCCCAAUUCAAGGCUUAAGCAGGGUUAUACCUAUACGGCGUGCGUUUCUCUCCGCCCUCUACAUUAUUUUCCUCUCUUUACCGUCUCAGCCAUUUCUGUAUCCCUAGGAACAGAGGUGGAAGCUUUCAGUUCUAAACGGCGUGUCAAGGUUUGAAAAUUCGUUUUCAAUUUCUAAAACUACUGUUUAUUUUAUGUUACAUCUUGAUGCUGGAUUUGCUUCUUGUAAAUAGAAAGAAAAGAUAGUUGUUUUUUUAAUAGAAUAAAUAGAUUUUUUACUUGUUCUUCCCAAUUCUAUUUAUUAAAAUCUACUCAAGUUUUAGCUUCAUUUUUCUGUCAAUGUUGUUGCUCAACUUCCUUUUACUGGGUUGGCUUGUAGGACUUGAGUUUUUUAUUAAGUUCUCUCUGUCAAUGGGCGGCUUGGAAGGUUUAAAUCAUGGUUGGUAAGGCAUCGCCUAGGCGUCGAUUAGGCGUCCAAGAGGUUACUCAAGGACUAGGCGAGGAUACGCUUUAGUUGAACUUCGUAGUCGAACGCCUCGGCAGUCAAGUCGUCGCUUUUGGUCGCCUAGGCGACGACUCGAUCGACUUACUUUUACGGAUUACCCAGAACUUUGAGAGAGAGAAAAAGAUGAAGAGAGAAACUCUUAAUAUUAUACACGCAGACCUGUUCGGGAAUGACUUAUUUUAAAUGACUUAUAGGUUAUUUUAAAUUGUGACUCAUAAAUAAAAACAUUGGAUAUUAAUUUGACUUAUAAGUCAAAAUUAAGUUAAAACAAGUUAGGAAGAUGUUCGGCUUAUAAUGACAAUAAAUGUAAAAAUUAUUAAAAAGGACAUUAAUAAAAAGAUGGGCAAAAUAGAAGAGUGACAAAAUAAACAUUUUAUUUUGUCAAACUAACUUAUUUUAAAAUGACUUAUAAGUCAUUUUAAAAUAAGUUAUAAAUACUUAUUUUUUUGACUUAAAACUCAACUUAUAAGUAGAAAAUAAGUCAUUUCCGAACAGGUGAAUAGUAACAAAUGACUUAUAAGUUAGUUUGACCAACUUACAAGUCAUUCCUGAACAAGCUAUGUUGAUUUAUGGUUUGGCUUUUAUUUUAGUAUCAAUAAGACUUGGCAGACAGCUUUCUUGGACAGGAAAAUUGGACAUUUUCAUUUUCAUUUUCAUUUUCAUUUUUUUUUUGAUUGUGACUACCAAAAAAUGUAUAGUAUUUAUUCCAACAUGAAUUUUAACAAAAUACAGUGUUUUAGAUGUAUAACCUUGUUUUUGUAUAUGUAUCCAAAUUACACCUAAAACACUGUAUUUUGUAAAAAUUCCUGUUAGAAUAAAUACUAUAUAUUUUUUGGGAGUCGCAAUAAAAAAUAAAUAAAUGAAAAUGUCCAAUUUUUCUGUCCAAGAAAGCUGUCAGUAGAAGGACUCUUUUAGUAUGGUUGUAUACGUGUAUGUGUCAAUAUAAUUCAUUUAUUAGCCUUCGCUAAAGGUUUACAUCUGAUUAUAAAAAGUACUGUCCAUGUAGGUCCAAAUGUCUCCCACUCAAGAUAUACUCCUCGUUUAGUGGUUUACCAAGACUAAUAUGUGAUCAUAUAAGUUGCUAAGUGUUAGCUCCAAGUUACAACUUUUAAUAAAAAUAUUUUAAAUUUUAGGUUUAUUUAUUAUCUGGCAUUUAAAUUCCCACUUAAUAUACCUAGUAAUUAUAUUUUAUAUUCAAAUAUAUCCUAAAAGUUUGACAUUCUUUCACUACACACUCUUGAACUUUCGUUCUUUAUAGUUUUGGCCCCUUUUAUAGUAAAAAUAAAAACAAAAAAUGACUAGUAUAUGUGUGUAUAUUUGUGUGUAUAUAUAUGUAUAUAUAUUAUAACUAUUAUUUCAAGUUUUAAUGCAUAUAAUUUUCCUAAGUUUAAUGUAUUUGACAAAUACAAUACAUAUAAAUUGUGCAUUGUUAACGACUUGUCGCCUUGUGGACGACUAGUUGGGCAUCUUAUGUGCUCCUGACUACCGCCUCGCCUUGACUUGUCGCCUUGACUACUAUGGUUUAAAAUCUUCUAUUUUAUUAUAUUUGUCAAUGUUGCUCACAACCUUUUUGAUAAUAUGCCAAUCUCGUCAUUAGGAUUUUGUAUUUCAUGAUGUUUAGGAUUUUCGUUCUGGUAUUUUAUACAUAUUUGAUCUGUUCAUAUGUCGUACUACAAUGGUUGUUGAUAUGUUUCAUAAAUGGUUUCCAUUGUCGUCCUGGUAGAAGUUCUCAUCUUGAUGAAUCAUAAAAUCUAUUGAGUAACUCUAAGAUGCCUAAUUCUUAACAUUAUUUGGUGUUUAUGAGGUGUGGUGUUUGGAUUAUGAGAAAGCUAGAGAAAAUGGGGAAAUGGGGAUAUGAACAGUAAGGGAGAAGGAAACGAUGAAGGAAGAGAAAAAGAGAAAGAAAAAAAGAAAGAAAGAAAUUCACUUAAUCUAUUACUACUAUAUAUAAGCAAGGUAAUCGGAGAUUUUAUCCAAAUUAAUCUAGUCAUUUUGGUUGGUCACCGAGUUGGUGCGAGUUAGUCACGUGUUCAAUAUCUCUAAUGGUAUAGUGUAUGUCAUUCAAAAUUAUACAAAAUUUUUCGUAUCCUUUGUAUUAUUUCAAAGAUGUACAUGCAUGUAUUAAAAAAUAUAUACAAUGAUUUUGAUAUACAUACAAGUUCAAUGUAUCACUAUCAUCUAUAUUAUACUCCCUCCAUUCCUAUUUAUUUGACAUUUUACUGUGUUGCACACUUAUUAAGGAAUCAUUUAUUACUCUAAUUUUAUCAUUAAGAUUGAUAUGUAUUACCACAAAUAUUCUUGCAUAUAUUAAGGAAAUAUGUAUAAAGUUGCUUAGACAAAUAAGAGAGAAAUUAUGAGAGAAGAUACUUACGGGCAAAAAGGAAGAAUUGUAAUUAAUGCUUCUUAGAAAUUUUGCUAACGUCAAAUAUGUAGAAAAAUUUUGAACUGCCUAAAACAUCUAAUAAAUGAGAAUGGGGAGAAUAUUAUUUAUAAUCAAAUUAUAAUACCAAAUAUCACACACCAUAAUUAUUUUAAAUUGUAUUCUCCCAUAUUAAUCCGUGACUAGCAUGGACUAUCAGUCUAGUGUCACAAAAACACACAUCUUGAUAUCUAGAGACUAGAUACAAAUACAUUACGCUACCCUAACAAAACAAGGAAACAAUACAAAUCCCACAAAGAAACAGAAUAACAGACAAGCACCACCACUACAAAGCCCAACCUCCUAGCAAAAAACUUUAUUCACCUAGAUACCAGUUUUUCACAAAACAAUAACCAUGCUAUAUACCUCAAGACUUUUUGGUCACUGGUCUUUAUUUCCCAACACCAGUUGGCAUCAGGAUAUUGUUCCUAAUGCGUUGUAAAUUUGCAAGAACAUGACUAAUAUUUAUCCUGUCUGUUGGAGAUUCGGCAGUGCAACUUCAUAUAUUGCAAUCAAGCAUUCCUGAAUCUUUUGGAUACUCUCCUUUUCUCCUUCUUGCGGUAGAAGUGCUUGAUCCGAAAUUUCCACUACUCUGUCAGGGUAACCUAUCUUAACAUAGUUUUGGAGGUUCAUAUCACCGUUACACAUGUUAUCUGUGGGCCUUUUUCCAGUAGACAUCUCCAACAAGAGGACACCAUAGCUGUAAAUGUCACCUGCUGUUGAUACCUCAGUUCCCAUACCAGACUCUACACAAUUCAUUAAUGUGAAUCAUUAUAAGAAAUCCCAAUAAAAUGGCAUUGACAAAAUUUGUCAAAUAAUUAAGGUCAAGAAGAACGACUAUGAUCAUAAAAUAUGUGCAAGUAUGUAGAAUAAAUCUCGGCAUACUAACAACUUGCAAACAAACUAACAAUUAGUGGAGGACAACUAGAUUUUUCAUCACAAGAUGUGGGCCAUCCAGUAGUAUUAUUACAGUGGAAAAUCUAGUUGUUCCCUACUAAUUGUUAGUUUUUUUUUGUAAAUGGUUAGUAAGCCAAGAUUUAUUCAGGCAACAACACGAAUGCUAUAAUGCGACUAAACAUUCGAUAGGGUACACAAUUCAAAUAGCACAUUAGAUUUACACUAAAUCUUAUAUCACCGUCUAACUUUUAAAAAUAAACUUAAAAAGCCUAAACUACUAGAUCAAAUAACUUUCAACAACAAUAAGAUUAAAUAACUUUUAAAGAGUAAACAUAACAAACCAUGUAAUUGUGAGAUAAAGUGAAACGGUUAGGUAUUAAUUGCAUCCAAAAGUGUUAUGAGAUGAAAGCAUAUGUACAGUCAAAUGUAAAAUGUAGAAUAAAAUACCCAAAAUACCUUUUCUGAUCUUUACUUGUUUGAUAUGAAUAGAUUUAGUGUUUUUUUUGUUAGUGUAUUUGGUGUGUUCGGAAAAUCAAAGGUACUCUAAAGUCUUGUUUGUCGAAAAAUAGUUUAUUUCAAGCGCAAGUAAUUAAAUUCACCUAUGUAAACAUUGCAAAUGCCACUCUAUGCCUGAGUUUGGGAUGGAAAAGAAAAGAAUGAAAACUUAAUUUUCAUGUUACUGAGUUUAUAAAGUAAAAAAAAAAACUUAAAUUUUACAUUUAAAUUACUAAGUUGUCCUUAUAUUAAUUUUAUUAUGUUUAUAAUCUAGAAGGUAUAAUAAAGAUUAUAAAAGAUGAUCUUAUGUUAUUUAAUUUAUCGUCCAAAUCCGUUCAUUUUUGGAUGAAAAAAUUUGGCAAAAAAAAGGUUAUAUUUUUCGUCCAUUUCUUUUCUUUUCAUUUUCGUCAAAAUACGCAAACAAACAGCCCAAACCCAAGGCGAAAAUGAACAGCCCUCACGAUUGUCCUCCAAUUCCAGGCUUAGGCAGGGUUAUGCGGCGUACGUUUCUCUUCCGCCUUCUAUGUUAUCUUCCUCUCUUUAACAUCCCAACUAUUUUUGUAUCCCCGAGACCAGAGGUGGAAGCUUUUAGUUCUAAACGGCGUGUCAUGGUUUGAAAAUUCGUUUUCAAUUUCUAAAACUACUGUUUAAUUUAUGUUACAUCUUGAUGCUGGAUUUGCUUCUCUUGUAAAUAGAAAGUAUAUAUAGUUGUUUUUUAAUAGAAUAAAUAGAUUUUUUACUUGUUCUUCCCAUUUCUAUUUAUAAAAAUCUACUCAAGUUUUAGCUUCAUUUUUCUGUCAAUGUUGUUGUUCAUCUUCCUUUUGCUUGGUUGACUUGUAGGACUUUAAGUUUUUUUAUUAAGUUCUCUCUGUCAAUGGCCGACUUGGAAGGUUUAAAUCAUGGUUGGUAAGGCAUCGUCUUGGUUGACUAGGCGUCCAAGCGGUUACUCAAGGACUAGGCUAGGAUAUGCUUUAGUUGAACUUCGUAGUCAAGUGCCUAGACAGUCAAGUAGUCGCUUUUGGUCGCCUAGGCGACGACUUAGACAAUUUCCUGUUGCUUUCCGACCAAGUGUUUUACGGAUAACCCAUAACUCUAAGAGAAAGAAAGAGAUGAAGAGAGAAACUCUUACUAUGAUACACGAAAUAUGUUGAUUUAUGUUUGGCUUUUAUUUGAGUAUGGCUGUAUGUGUCAGUAUGAUCCAUUUAUUACCCAAACAAGCUUUCGCUAAAGGUUUACAACCUUCGAGGUUUGUAUUGAGUUGCUCAGAUUUGAGUUGGUUGAGAUUCGUUUAGCUACCGAGUCUAGCACAUAUAUAGAUCCAUGUCUUCCACUCAAGUAAUUCAUCGAACUUUAAAUUUUGCUCAUAUUUGAAUUGUAUCUAUUUAAAAUCAAGCACAAAUAAAAUUUUUAAUCGAAUGAGUACGAAUCAAGUUCGAACCACUUGGUUCAUUUUACAGCCUUGCAUGUAGGUCCAUGUCUCCCACUCAAGAUAUACUCCUGGUUUAGUGGUUUAACAAGACUAAUACAUAUGUGAUCAUAUAAGUUGCCACGUGUUAGCUCCAAGUUACAAAUUUAAAUUAAAUAUUUUAAAUUUCAUGUUUAUUUAAUCUCUAAGCCGACAUUUAAAUUCCCACUUAAGUUGACCUAAUAAUUAUCUUUUAUAUUCAAAUAUAUCCUAAAAGUUUGAUAUUCUUUAACUACACAUCCUUGAACUUUUUGUUCUUUUGCAGUUUUCGCCCUUUUUAUAGUAAAGAUAAAAUUGACUUUUAUGUGUGUGUGUAUAUAUAUAUAUAUAUAUAUAUAUAUAUAUAUAUACAUAGAUAUUAUAAAUUGUGCAUUGUUAACGACUUGUUACCUUGUAGAUGACUAUUCAGGUGCCUUAUCACCUAAGCACUUUAGUUCCUGACUACCGUCUUGCCUUAACAAUUAUGGUUUAAAUAUUCUAUUUAAUUAUCUUUGUCAAUGUUGCUCACAACCUGUUUGAUAAUACGCCAAUGUCGCCAUUAGGAUUUUGAAUUUCAUGAUGUUUAGGAUUUUUCGUUCUGAUAUUUUAUACAUAUUUGAUCUGUUCAUAUAUCGUAAUACAAUGGUUGUUGAUAUGUUCCAUUUAGUGAUAUAAAAUGAAAUAUAGUAAAAAUAAAAAUAAAAAUUGACUUGUAUAUGUGUGUGUGUGUGUGUGUGUAUAUAUAUAUAUAUAUAUUAUACCUAUUAUUUCAAGUUUUAAUGCAUAUAAUUUUCCUAAAUUUAAUGUAUUUGAGAAGUACAAUACAUAUAAAAUUAUACAUAUAUAAAUUGUGCAUUGUUAACGAUUUGUCGCCUUGUGGACGACUAGUCCGCGCCUAAGCGCUUAAGCUCCAGCUACCGCCUCGCCUUGACUUGUCGUCUUGACAACUAUGGUUUAAAUCUUCUAUGUAAUUAUCUUUGUCAAAUUUGCUCACAACCUGUUUGAUAAUAUGCCAAUCUCGUCAUUAGGAUUUUGUAUUUCAUGAUGUUUAGGAUUUUCGUUCUGUUAUUUUAUACAUAUUUGAUCUGUUCAUAUAUCGUACUACAAUGGUUGUUGAUAUGUUUCUUAAAUGGUUCCCAUUGCCGUCUAGGUAGAAGUUCUCAUCUUGAUGAAUCAUAAAAUCUAUUGAGUAACUCUAAGAUGCCCAAUUCUUAACAUCAUUUGGUGUUUAUGAGGUGUGGUGUUUGGAUUAUGAGAAAGUUAGAGAAAAUGGGGAAAUAGGGGAUAUGAACAGUAAGGGAGAAGGAGCUAGACGAUGAAGGAAGAGAAAAAGAAAGAUGAAUAUUUUGUUUGUAUAAAAGAGCAUACCAAAUUUAGCUUGUAUAUUUUUAACGGAGUUAAGACAGGAAGUGGGAAGCCAGGAAGUGGGAAGCGGGAAGCGUUGUUGCACUUAGCCUCACAAUUAUAGGUGGGUUAUGUGUUACUUAUAAAAGUUAGGUGGUGGUAUGAGAUUUAGUGUAUGUUAUUAGAUGAAGAAAAUGAAUGUGCAUGUGCUUGCAUAAGUUCAAUUGCUCACGAGUAGAAUCCAUUGUAUUUAUGACAGUCAUGGAAUUGUGAGCGAAAUGCCUAACCACUUUUUAAGCUGCAUAAGUAUGAUCAGAUUGAUCUAGGAAACUAGUAAUUGAAUUUUAGAAAAAGUCCAAUGUUCUUAAGUUGAUGCUUUAUGCUUAGGCUUAACCAAAUGGAAGCACCCACAUGAUUUAGAAAGGGUAGUGUACAAAAACGUAGUAAUUACCUGGUGGAGUAUAACCAAUAGAUCCUUUCACCCCAAUGGAGCUUGUUUGCUGUGAAGAAAACUUGUUUGCGUUUCCUAGAUCUAUUCUUGCCAACCCAAAAUCACCAACAUGGCCAAUCGUUUCUCCGUCAAGAAGAAUAUUGCUUGGUUUGAUGUCACAGUGCACAAUUGGGGUAGGACAAUGAUUUUGAAGAUACUCAAUCGCACUGGCAAUGUCAAUAGCAAGAUUCAACCUUUGUAUGACGUCUAACUGCCUAGGUCCUUGAAAUUGUUUCCCUGAUAGUCAACCCCUGAACAUGAAGUUAGCACCUUGACAAGAUUCCGAUGUCUGAUAUUCCUCAAAGCCUCACAUUCAGUUGAAAAACUUUUUGAACUCUUUGCCGCUCAAGAUUGAGUACUUUUACUGCAAUAACUCUUCCGCUUUCGAGGACUCCCUUAUACACCGAACCAAAACUACUAGCACCAAUCAAAUUUGUUGUAGAAAAGCCGUCUGUUGCCUUAAGAAGGUGAUGAUAAGAAAUUCGCAAGAGCGAAUACUCUUUUGAACUCAGAAGUGAAUGUUUUCUAUUCUUUCGAAUGAUACAAAAAUAUAAAGAACACAACACCAAUGUCAAUCCUAAAAAUCCAAAAACCACAGGGAGUACAAUCUUUAAGGCCGGAGUUGAUCUCUUUUUCUUAAGCGCUUUAAAAUUGCAUAUAGGAAGAUAUAAUGCAGUCACACCCCCACAAAGCUUGUAGUUUCCGUUCGCAAACACUACACUUGUGUUCUUAAAAUGCCUUUUGUUGGUAAGGAACCUUCAAAAUCAUUGAAAGAAAGAUUCAAGUCUUGCAAGUCAAAUUCCCCCAAAAAGUCUAGAAUUUGUCCACAUAAAUUGUUGUGAGAGAGAUCAAUGAAUUGAAUGUCGUGCAACAAACUCAACUCUGAUGGAAUAGUCCCUUGAAAAAAAUUCCUUUCCAUAUGCAAAACUUCCAUACUCACGCAACUACUAAGAGAGGUAGGAAUAUUGCCAUAUUACAUGUUAGAAACAUCCAAUUCAUUUAGAUGCUUCAAAUUUCCAACUUCAGUAUGAAGCAAAUUAACCGGUAGUUGGUUAUGAGAUAAUACUAAAAAUAAAGAUAACGAAGAGAGACCGAAAAGUACUUGCGGUGGUAUUUCGCCAGUAAGGUUGUUUUGAGAAAGAUCCAGUGCUAGCAACAUUGAGAGAUUUCCCAAAGUUGAUGGAAUGCUGCCUUGGAGAUUAUAUAUUUCCUCCUAGGGAUAGUUUGGUUAGAAGAGUUAGAUUUCCAAGAGAGGAUGGGAUUAUUCCUGAGAACUAGUUUGAGGAUAAAUCCAAAAAUUGUAGCUUUUGAAGCUUCCCAAUACCUGGAAAGGUGUUACCUGUAAAUUGGUUAUCUGACAUUUCCAAGUAGUUCAAGUUGAACAAAUUCUACAUGUCAUUUGGAAUACUACCAGAUACCUUGUUUUCUUCUAAGAACAAUUUGGAAAGUCUAAUGGAGAGAUGGGUAAUAAAUUCAGGUAAUACCCCUCCAAAAUUAUUAUUAGCAAUAUAGACAAUGCUUAAAUUGGUUGCAUUGGUCAGAGAAGAGAUGAAGCUCAAGUCACCAUCCGCGUAUCCUCCACUCCCAAGAUGGUUCCUCGCAAUGCUGAAGAGUGAAAGCUGAUGUAGCUUUCCAAUAUCGGGCACUUUUCCAGUGAGGCAGGCAUUUAUGGCAGCAAGAGUCACUAGAUUCGACAGAUUGGACAUGGAAACAGGAAGUGAUCCGGUAAAAUUGUUUCUGCUGAUGCGAAGUAGCUCAAGAUUUGGCAUUGUGUUACCCAUAUCGGAGGGAAGACUAUCUCUGAUUCGGUUAUAAGCCAUAUAAAAAUGCCGAAUAAAGACAGGUUAAAGACCUGGGAAGGGAUGGCACCUGAAAACCUGUUAUUUUCCAGUACCAGAACUUCCAACCUUUUUAGCUGUCCUAAAGUGUUGGGAAUACUGUCGUCAAGAAAAUUGUUCCUACAAGUUUCACAAGAGACGAUAAGUUCCCAAAGGAAAGAGGGAUACCACCUGUUAGUCUGUUGUGUGCCAUUUAAGUUACUUGGAGCUCUCACAGGGAUCUGAACACGGCUGGAAUAGUACCUGCUAUCUCAUUGUAAGAAACAUCGAAGUUAACAAGAUUUGAACAAUGAGAUAAGUUGGAGGGAAUAACACCGCUGAUUGAAUUAUCAAACCACCUCAAGAUUUGUAGUCUUUUUAAACGUCCGAGUUCAGGGGGGAUUUCAGACAUCAGGCUAUUGUUGUGGAGGCGUAGGGUCCUAAGAAAGCUCAAGCGCGCCUUGCCAUUGACAAAAGUGGAUGGACUCAUUCCAUGUGCUAAAAGCAUUUAAAGGAUCAGUAAGUAUUUUGGCCUUGAAGUUUAGCAGUGCUAUCUUGUCUGUUUUAUUCCCAUGAUGAACAGCCAAAGCCAAAGCCAAAGCCAAGAAGAAAGUAAAAGCAUUACUAAUGUAAGCCAAAAGUUUCAUUGGAUCUUAGCACGGAGUAUUUGUGACCGUGUCUGGUUAGAAAGCUGAGAAACUGCAGAAGGGAAAAACAAGUUAAUACCAAAGCUUGAUUGAAGAACCUUGCCUGUUCGGGAACGACUUAUUUUAAAGUUAGUUAUAAGUUUAAAUAUAAGUUAUUUUAAGUUCUGAAUUAUAACUAAAAGCGUUUGGCAUCAAUUUGACUUAUAAGUCAGUAAUGAAGUUAAAAUAAGUUAUGAUUUAUGAAGGUAUUUGGCUCGUAAUAGUUAGAAUUUGAGCCAAAAUUAAAGUGUGUUUAAUUAAUUAUUUAAAGUGAAUUCACAUAUCAAUGUGUUCUACUCUACGAGUAGAUUAAAUUAAGUAUUUGGAAGCUCAAAUUUAUGAAGUAAUGAAUGAGAUAUUAACUCUCAAAGAUUACCCUUGAAAAUGAUAAAUGAUAAUAAAUACACGUGGGAAGCCAAGUCUCACAUUGGUUAAAAACUAAAAGUUUAAUAUGUUUAUAUUAUAAGGAAAUUGCUCUUAGGUUUGGGUCCCAACCCCACUUUUUUGGAAGGGAGAAGACUUAGCCAAGGUUUGGUUCGAAUCCACAUGCGCGUCGCCGAUCGGCUUGGCCUGACUCGAGGGUCUGGGUUCUUGUAUAUAAUUUUUUGGACAAAAUUAAUUUAAAUUUAAUUUUAUUUUAGUUCUAUUAUCAAAACUGUGUUCUUUUGAUAAAUAUUAUUUAUUAUCAAUACUCUGUCGUUUUGGGAAGCGGUAUCUGCCGAACGGACACGUUUUUGGGAAAGACUAUCUGCUUGAACGGACGCCCUAAAACUUCGUCGUUUUUGUUUGAACGGACGUGCCUUUUCUGCUAAAGACUAAGACUACGUCGUUUUUGUUCUAAUAAGACUAAAACUACGUCGUUUAGUAGGUCGGAUGGACCUUUCUGUUAAGCCUUAAAACUACGUCGUUUUGGCUAAAUAGUACAUUUUCAAGGGGUUAAUGUCCCUUCUGAAGGGUCACUAAUCCCUCCUAUAAAUAGAUAGGAGGGGGCAGCCAUUUUAUUCAUUCAAUUCAGAAGCAUUCUAGUCAUAUAGUCUUUCAUUAUUCAUAGUUUAUUUGAGAGAGAUUUUCAGAGCAUUUUUCUUUGGCUCGUAGAAUAUACUAAUUGGGGUGCUACUUUAGUAUAUGUUGUCAUUGUAUCAUGGGAGACAAAUGUUAUCAAUUCUGAGCACCAUACGGAGGACAUAAUUGUCUUAAGGACAUAGUACCAAGUACUAUCAUUUGACAAAUUUAUUUCUGCAGUUUUGAGAUGAGUUAAAUAUAUAUAUAUAUAUAUAUAUAUAUAUAUAUAUAUAUAUAUAUAUAUAUAUAUAUAUAGAGCCCCGUUCAAGAGCAUUAUGCUUAAAUAACAUUACACCCUUAAAUGACAUGACUAUAAAAGCCUGCUGUGUUAUUUUUUUAUCUUCUCUCUUCACUUUGUUUGUAUGCCAAAACCAAAAAGGCUUCUCUCUCCUCACUCGAUUUUGUAAGACGAGCUUCAGACUUCAAAAAACCUUCUCCUCAAAAUUGAAAUCGAAUGAAACCCUAGAAAGAAAUCAAGUCUUCACAAAAUUGAGCGGUAUUUGUCCAGAUCUCGAAUAUCUUCACAAAACCAAGUUUUAUUUGUCCAUAUCUCGAAUUGGAGAAGAAAUCGUGCCCUAGAAUCUGAACACGGAAGAAAUCGAAAGUCGGAAGUCUUCACAAAUCGGUAAGCCCUUUUUUCACAAACCGUGCCUUCUCGUUCUAUAUUCUUCCUUAUUUGUACGAAUGAUAUGAAAUUAAAACAGAGCACAAUACUCCCACUAAAACAAAGCACAAUACUCCCCCCUCGAGACAGGUUUCCUGGAAUGACUAGUGAGCAUGAAAAAACUAGUAUUUUAUACAAAUUAGUUGACUCUUAUAUGUAUGUAUAAUUGAUUUUUGAGCAUACACUGGUCGCUUGUUUUAUUUGUUUAAUUAAUUAAUAAUACAAAUGUAUUAGCAUUCAUCCUGGUGUCCAGUACAGUUGUGUGGGAGACUUUACAUAUAUGGUAGAAGAGAAAGAAGAAUCAAAUUAGCUAAGCUGACGAUUAAUGGAACGAUGAAUAAACAGCAGAAUAACAAAUUUAUGAGUGCUAUAAAAUUUUGUCAGAAAUCUUAUAGCAACAAGGCAACAAAAAGUGGUUUACAACGUUUUUAAUAACAAAAAAUGGUUUUUUGUUUGCAAAUAAUAAUGGUUUAACUCUCCUUAUUUUAGUCCGAAACUAUGAAUGUGUUUUAUUUUGUUAUCACUACAGGGUCGAAAUUUAGAUAAUGAUAAUACUUUGUAUAAUUUAAUUGUGAUGUCCUGUAACAGCAGAAUAACGAUAUUAGUGUUUUUAUUCGGUUUGUGAAAUUUGCUAAUAAAUAGCAUAAUAAACCGUGACUUCUCUUUCUAUAUGAAAUUAAAACAGAGCACAAUAAUCUUGCGUCAAGGUGUAAUGCAUGCUUGUGUGAUUUCUUCUCUAUUUGUUGAAGUAAAUGAUAAGAGUUAACUCAGACUUUGAUUUUCAUAUUAUACCAACAAUAAUAAUAUUGGUGAUCAUAAUUCUUAGUAAUGUUUGUGUUUUAACAUAUUUGAAUAUCCCAGCCACUGUUCAAAUUCUGUUUUGGAAGUGAUUUCAGAAUUAUAGGUACUGAAAUGUUUGUUUUUAUUGAAGGGCAAUAAUUUGAACUUUAUGCAUUACUGGUGAUAAGAAAGAUGAGAAAGGAUUUAGUAUUUUGAAAAUUUUGAUUAAUAUGGUUUGAAAAUUGCCUUGUUUUCUUCUUCAUGUGGAUUUCUGCGUAUCUUGAUGACUUUGAAUGCAAGAGAGAUCAGUGUUUGAUAGAUUGAAGAUCAGUGAUGGUCUUAUUUGUAAUGUAUGUUCUGAAAAAAAAAUUCUUUUUUGACAGUCCCAUGGUUGUGGGUACUUCAUGUGGUAUGAUCCUCCAAUGCAACCAAGAGCCAUUCAAGUGAUACCUGGUCUGUUGAGGAGGUUGAGGGCUAUGGAAAAUGAAGCUCAAAUUUUUUGACGCAAACAAAGGAUUUACUUGAUAAUCAUAUGGUUUCUUUGAUUUUGCUACUUUGGAAUUUCUUUGGAACCAUCUCUGUGCAAGAAGAUGCCUAAACAGGAAAAAAAUUGUGAUUAGAAUUUGGGAGAUGGAGCAAAUAGGAUGUGUGAAGUUCUUUUUUAAAUGUAAUGAAUUGAUUGUAAUGAAGCUUUGUUGUACUCUGUUUUUAAAACUUAGUUUAGACUGAGUCUGUAUGUUAUUUGGAUUUACAAGGAAUUACUAGAUGUUCCUCUAUGGAAGUUUUCUGAAUUACGGAAUUCUUUGGCUUGAAAACAUUAAUUAGAUAACAUGGCAAGAGGCAGGGGAGCCAAGGUGGUGUCUUAAGUGCAAUUAGUCAAAAUCAAUCCAAACUGGAUGCUUUCAGCUCAAUACAAGUUUCUGAUUAUUAAUUUUUUCUUUUCUUGUUCAUCCACAUACGCACAACCUUAAAACUCCACAAAGACCGGAAGAAAAAGAAAGAAAUGUGGCUAUGUUAGACUGGACUGAAGAUAUACAACACACAUGAGAAAACUUUGCCCAUAUAGAUUUUAUAGCAGCAACAAUAGAUUUGUACAAUUAUUUUACAAGACCAAAAGCACCCUGUUCAACUAAAACCAAAACAACCCUGUGUAACUAAAACAAAAACAUCCAUAUGGAAGUAAAUAGUUUUGCACCAGUUUACAUAUUUAAAACCAAACCAAAAGCCAAGGUGAUUUGAGCAUUUUGAUAUACAAGCCUUCUAUUAGUUAAAGUCACCAAGUUCAAUUAGCAAGUAACCAAAAAGAAUAAUAUUUCUCUUCCUGUGCUAACAACUCUUCAAAAGAAAUAUCAGCAAAGACAGUGUCCAUGUUGUCCUCCAGCUUGCCAGUUUUGGCUUUCAGCUCCGUGCAUGUGCCAAUUUCAAGCAUCUUCAACAUCAGAAAAGGAUUAACUUUUAUUACUUCAAUUGGUGUACUGCAACAAACCAAACAUGGAUAUUGUCACUAUAAAAGAAAGCAAACGAAUAAAAGCUAUUGCAAGUGUUUUUUUCAACACAGAAGAAGAAUGCAAAUUACAAAGCAAAAUAAGUGACCAUUGUCCAGCUACAAGGAUCAACAGCAUCACCAUCCCAAUUAUCAAGAACACCAUGAGGAUCCUCCAAAGAAUAUUUUAUUCCCAUUAAAGCUUGCACUAUAACAUGAACACCCUCAAUCAAAAAAACAAAAAAGAAACCCUCCAUUGUUGGUGAUUACAUUUUACAUCAAAUUACCCAAGAAAAGUUCAUAUUUUUACCUUCGAAGUACUCGAAAAACACAGAAAUAUCAGAAAGCAGAACAUGUUCUCUAUCUCUCUUUUCGUCUCUAUACUACAAACUUAUGAUUUAUAAGCUCAAAAGAUACCCAGGUGCUAAAACCUGCUUAUUGUGAAUGAUGAAUGUAAUUUGAAGAGCAUGCCUCAAACGAUUUUCUUUUUCUUAAUGUAAACCCCAAUAUCUUCACAACCCAUUUCUAGCUUUUCACGACAGACAUCCAUUAAACUGCAGUUUCUGCCUUACCCGCAAAAAAGGCACUCAACCCUUUGUAUAGUAGAAAGAGAAGUAGAGCAUGCUCUGUCACUGGGGUCAGUAACUGUAAAGUAAAGAAUACUAUAUUAUUGCCUUGAACUAGACGAUCAUAGUACCCAAAAUCUAGUUUAAAUUAGCAAAACAACCUUGGUGGGUCAAUCAUUCAUUUGCAAUAAAUUGAUUAUAUAUAUAUAGAAGAAAACAAUAAAUUGAAUAUUGGGAUUAAAGAGGGAUAGAUUAAUGUUGUGUUGUUCAGUAUAAUGAAAGAAAUGUGGAGGAGUGUAAUCGAGAACGAUGAUUUGGAAACGUCAUCGUCUUUCUCCAACAUAUCAUCAGUAAACAAUUUUUGAAACGGAGGAAGUAAACAAUUUCCUACUGUUAAAUAGAAGACAGACCUGGGGCUGGGCUGGAGCUGGAUGGCGGGAUGAGACGACGGGCGAAGGUGGCGGCGGAGAGAAGGGAAGAAUAUGAUUCUAGGGCUUGAGGGGGAUCGAACUGAGAUUUCAAGGACUUCGAUUUUGCAGCAAUCGAUUUUUUGGAGGGGAACUAGUUUGAGAGCUCAGUCGCUAUCAUCACCGAGCGAGGAUAGAGAAAGUGAAGACAAGAAAAAUACGGAGCCCUUAUAUAGUAAUGCUCUUUAAGGAUGUAAUGUUACUUAAGUGUAAUGCUCUUGAACGGGAUCCUAUAUAUAUAUAUAUAUAUAUAUAUAUAUAUAUAUAUAUAUAUAUAUUUUUCACUCUAUUUUAUCUAACAAUCUUAAGACAAUUACUGUUUGAUUAUUUCUAUAUAUAUAUUUGAGAUAUGGCUACCGAUACUCUAUCUAUAAUCGGUUCUUCUUCUUCUUCUACACCUUCUAUUCCAAAUGUUUUUAUGAACCAUGGUGAAAAAUCAGAAAGGUUCAAUGGUACAAAAUUCAAAAGGUGGCAACAAAAGAUGUUUUAUCUUACUAUUCUGAACUUGGCAAGGUUUCUUCACGAAGAUCCCCAUGUUCUCAAAGAAGAUGAAACAGACAGGCAAGUUGUUGCCGCAAUUGAUGCAUGGAAAAAUGCUGACUUUCUAUGUCGGAAUUAUAUCCUUAAUGGAUUGGACAACACAUUAUAUAAUAUGUAUAGUUUUCUCAAAAUUGUAAGAGAAUUAUAGGAUUCCUUGGAUAAAAAAUAUAAAAUCAAAGAUGCUAGCACGAAGAAGUUCGUAGUUGGCAGAUUUUUGGACUACAAGAUGGUGGAUUCUAAGGCUGUCAUCAACUAAGUCCAAGAAUUACAAGUUAUCCUGCAUGAAAUACAUGCAGAAGGUAUGUCUUUAAGUGAAUCUUUUCAAGUCUCUGCAAUUAUUGAAAAACUACUAUUAAUGUGGGAAGAUUUUAAGAAUUAUCUCAAGCAUAAACGCAAAGAGAUGAAACUUGAAGACUUAAUUGUAAGAUUAAGGAUAGAAGAGGACAACCGUGCCUUUGAGAAGAAAGUAAGAAGGAAAUUUGUGGAACAUAAAGCUAAUGUGGUGGAACAAGGUCCGAAAUCUAAGAAAAGAAAGUACUCCGGCAAUGGGUCUCAACAUGGAACAAAUAAAAAGUUUCAAGGAAAAUACUACAUUUGUGACAAGCCCAGACAUAGGGCAAAGGAUUGUCGUAAACGCAAAGACCAGAAUAAGUUCGCACAAGCCAAUGUAAUAGAAGUGGAUAGUCUUCUUCAAGAUGUUUUAGAAAUGAACCUUUCAGCGGUUGUUUCUGAGAUUAACAUGGUUGAAAAUCCUAGGGAAUAGUGGGUAGAUACUGGAGCAACCCGCCAUGUGUGUUCUGACAAGAAGAUGUUACCCACAUAUCAAUAAAUUAAGAAUGGAGAACAAUUUUACAUAGGGAAUUCUUCCUCAUCCAAAAUUGCUGGACAAAGAAAAGUGGUUCUGAAAAUGACUUUUGGAAAGGAACUCACCCUCAACAAUGUGUUCCAUGUGCUUGAUAUUAGAAAGAAUUUAGUGUCAAGAUCCUUUCUUAGUCAAAAGGGAUUUAAAUUGGUUUUUGUAUCGGACAAAUUCGAUCUAACUAAAAAUGGGAUGUAUGUGGGGAAGGGAUAUAUGAGCAAUAGGCUCUUUAAGAUGAAUGUAAUGACUAUUAUACCUUCUAAUAUUAAUAAAAUUACAUCUGCUUAUAUGAUUGAGUCUUAAAAUUUAUGGCAUAGUAGAUUAGAACAUGUUAAUUAUAAUACUAUACGUAGAUUAAUUAAUAUGGAAUGUUUGCCAAAAUAUUAUAUUAACUCUAAUUAUAAAUGUGAAGUUUGCGUUGAGGCAAAACUUAGAAAAUCUUCUUUUAAAUCAAUUGAAAAAAGUAUUGUCUCUCCUUAAAGCAGAUUUUGUCCCCGCUAUUGGUGCUUACGGAUGGAACCUUGGACGUCUACUUCCCAGGAUAAAAUGGUCUUCAACUCACAAGAAGCACUUCAAUGGAAGAGUUCCACGAACCAAUAAAAUUUGAAUACUCUCUAUGACUUUUAAUGAAUGAAGAAUGAAUUUUGUUUUAAGAACUUGAGAAGGAUUGAAGUUGAAGUGAUCGUUUUGGGUAGAUUUGGAACCUAUUUAUAGGUUUCCAAAUACCCUUUGAAGAUAUACAUCCCUUUGAAAAGAUACAUCCAUUUGAAAAGAUACAUCCUUUUGAAAAUGUUACAUCCAUUUGAAAAGAUACAUCCCUUUGAAAAGAUACAUCCCUUUGAAAAGGUUACAUCCCUUUAAAAAGGUAUGUUAGGAAUAAGCAUGUGAAUGAUAUUCCUAUUUACAUAUGAUUUGAUUAUGAUAUAAGUGAAUGAAUAUGCAAGUAUGCUUGCAUUAAGAAAAGUUGUAAAGUCCUUUGAUAGAUAAUAAAAACACAUGUACAAGGACUUAGAAUGAAUUGAUCAAAUAUGUUAGGUUGAUCCUACAUAAGCAAAACAGUUUUGUAAAGUCCUUAAAAAGAAAUGAUGUACAAGGAAUAUAAAUGUAGAAAGAUUAAGCUUGUUAGGUUGAUCUUAAAAUGUAAUAGAUAGGCUUGUCUGAUCGUCGAGCACUGCACCAGAAAUCGUAGUCUACCAGAAUAGUUGUGGAAAAUUCGAGAACUAUCAAGGCGGAAUCGUAGUCUGCAAGAUAGUAGAUUUCGGAGUUUGUAGACUACCAGGAGAGACGAGGAAUGAUCGUAGUUUGUCGAGAAAAGCCUCCUCGGAGCCGUAGCCUGCCGAGGAAGUCAUGUUCAGAAUCGUAGAGACAGUCUAUCUAAGAGCCGAACGAGCAUCUGUCAAAGCUAAGUCAAGAAUCAUAGACCACACUAGGAGUCGUAGAGUCUACUGAUCAUAUCAGAGGCAGAAAUCGUAGUUGAGCCAGAUCAGACAAAGACAACAAGCUUAAAGACAGAAAUCGUAGAGUGUCAAGAUCUGAUCUCGAAGUCGUAGUGUUUGCAGAACCCAAGCUAAAUCGUAGAGUGAAGAACUAAGGCUUCAACAGAAGUGCUCACAAUGCCAAGGCAGAAUCGUAGAGUAAACACGAUUCUCAACAAAUGGGCACUCCCAGAAUAUCCAAAGUAUGAAACCUCUUAUCUGAGCUGCAAAGAUACAUUCCACCUUAAGGAAACUAGAGAGCACUCAGCGGAUGGCUUGCAAGCUAACAGAAUACUAAAGCACCAACCCAAUCAGCAUCCAGAUUGAGUUGUGAAGCCAUUCAAGAUGAAGUCUUCCACAAGUAGAUCAAAAAAAGACUUCAGUAAAAGUGGCUGACUAAGGAAAGUCAGCAGAUACAGUAGCUGUCAAGAGAACAGAAGACAACGAUCUUGGGGUCAAUCAGGAUCGUAGUAUUUGCCAAACAAAGCAGGAACUGAUGAAGUUUACACAGAGAUACUGGACAACUUUUGAAGAACAAGACGAAAGUGAUUAAGCAUGGGUCAUCCCAUUGAUGAUAAGUGAACGAGAGAUCACAAGGAGAAAGCAAGCUGGGCAUGCCACAAAUCUGAUGUGUCUUGCUAUUCAGAAGAGAACAGAACAAGGAGUCAAGCUAUCAGUUCCUGAGAUCAGUCGAGGCAAACAGAAGUGUUGAAGUACUGCAUAAAUGAAGGAAGAAGUGUUCUACAUUGAAGAUCCAAUGAACACUUUUCAGGAUCGUAGUGUUGUCUUAAUCAGUCAAUGAGCAACAUUCAACAAGACACACUACGAUCAGGUCCAAGAACAUAUGCAUCAGAAUUGUAAAGUUCGGUCAUCUAAAGGUUGAAGCAUUGGCAAUGGUUCAAUCUGAAGACUGAUAUUUGAAUAUUACUAUUUGAGAGCAUCGAUGCAAAAGGACAAUUUCUGAUGUAUUAAAUCGAGAAGUCACAAAGAAGAAAUAAAGAUGACUACCUACCUGACAUGGAAAGGUGACAACUCUAAGGCGGUAGGUAAGGUAGCAUACUGCUGUGUCAGUAAAGUCAUAAAGAAGCUGUCAUAUCACAUCAAGUAGUCUGCACCAAAUAACUCGAGAUCUACGAAGUAAUUUAAAUAGCUUUCAAUGACUAUAUUCCAAUGGGAAGAUUGGGAAGGAGUAUAUAUCAGACUGAGCUUUAAAGAUCAAGGGUUGCAGAGUUGAAGGAUCGUUGAGUUGUUGGAAUGCUAUAGUGUUGACUCUACGAGCUCCACCAGAGCUGAACGAAACGAGUCUUAGUGAGAGUGAGACUACGAAGGUGGAAGUGAAGCAGAUUUGAAGAAGUACUUGAACAAACUAAAACUUCACUCAACAAGGAUGAGAAUGCCAUUGAAGAUGGCAGCUAAGCUGAGAGCCGAUAAGGCCAAGAAGAUAGCAUUCAGAAAAGUGGCAGGGCAUAAAGAAGAUUCAGAGAGCCACUCUACGAAUCACCAUGAACCAAAAGCUGAAAUAGAACAGAUGCAGAAUCAUGUCUGCAAACCAUUUAAGAAGGUUCAGGGAAUGAUAAGUGCUAGACGAAGUCUACCAAAAGCUCAAACACUUAGCAAACCUAAAUGGUGAUGGUGCAGAACUGACAUCGGAUGAAGAUGAGAAGAAAAGAAUGAAGAUCAGCUGCACCAAAGAAGAAGUGGUCCAGACUCAACAUCUUAACAGCUCAACAUCAAGCUACUAAGUACAAAAGAUGUUCAAGCUUAAAAACAUCUUAACAGCUCAACAUCAUCAUCAUAAACAACAACAACAACAACAACAAGAAGAAGUAGCUAGGGCCUGAGGGGUCCUUGUUCGGAGGGACUAAAUGAAGUUCCAAGCCUGAUGGGCUUGAAGAGUUCCUAGAAAACUAGAGGAGUUCCAAGCCUGCUGGGCUUGAAGAGUUCUUAGUGAACUGAAGUUUCAAGGCUACUGGCCUUGAAGGAAUCUUAGUGAUUCAGGGUGCUGCCCUUCCUUAGUGGAAUUCCUGCUCAUUAAAGAAGAAGAGUGAAUUAGGAGCUUGAGUCUCUGAACCACUUAAAAUCCCUUGUCUUUUACAUUCAGUCAUUUACUUUCUGUCAUAUACAUUAUGUACCUAACUGUUAUAAAUUCUAUGUAUAAAUUAACUGCUUACAACUAAACUAACUCUAUGAACAAUGUAUGUAUGUUCAUGAAUGUAUCAAUGAAGGGGAUCUUUUUCUUAUUCCGAUGUGCUUGAAAAGAUUCUUAUGUUUGUCAUAUGCUAAGUUAUUAGCAAUCCAAAAUAAAUAGGAAAAAUAUUUGAAAAUUAAAAAGGAUCUAUUCAACCCCCCUUCUAGAUCUAUUGUGUGCCUACUGGGAACUAACAAUUGGUAUCAGAGUAGGUUCACUUGCUAUAGCUAAUCGCUUUGAGUCUGAUCCUAGGCACAAACAUUAUUCUAAACUUAGUUUAGUGGUAAGUCACUUGUAAAUGCGGAUGAGCUCACACGUUGGAAAUGUUGUGUACAAGUAAAUGUGUAUAUAUACAUCUGAAGCUGCUCAGAUUGGUCCAUGUUCUUAAAUGCUAUAGCAACAAGACCAAUCCUUGUCCAUAGUCAAUCUUGUAGUCUGAAGACCAGAGAUGAGAGGUCAAGAGGCAUCAACAGCAAAGAGUCAAGCAUCCACCAGUCUGAAAGAUUAAAGGCUAUACAUGCUAAGAAAUACUUAUCCAGAGGAGAAAAAAGAAUUUCUCAGAUAUGUAUUUGGCUAACCAACAGCUGGAUGUGAACCUUGAGGUUUAAGGUCGUUAAAGAAUUAAGGAUGCUAAGAUUUUCUUAGCUUACAUCUUCAAGACUAUGACUGAUUGAUCGAAGGACAAUUGGAGAAACAAGCUGGAAGAAAUGAAUGUAAAAAUAUGCACAUCAAUGCCUAACCUCAUUAUAUCAAGAUAAAUGACUGUUAAGAAACUGACAGUUGAAAGGUACAAUUCCUCAUUAACAUAAAUGUGUACAUCAUGUUGCACCAACUUAUGUACUAUAACAGUACUCUAUCAAGAGACCAUACUCUACCUAAAAAGGGGAAGAAAGUAAGUACACUAAGGUUAGAAACUCAAAUGCUAACAAACUUUCUCUCCAUCCAAGUUUUAGGUUGAAGAUAACAUCUUGAAAAAAGUCUGUAAUAAGUCAUAAACAUAUCAAGAUUUAAUUAAUCUUAAGCGGAGUAAUCCUUGUUGAAAGGUUAAUAUGUAUGUACAAACCUAUGUUCUAGGUUUUUGAUAACACAUAGAGUAUGAUCAACUCUAUUAUAGUAUCUUGAAGAUUCGUAGAAACUGAUCAUCUCCAUGAAUCAACCAGAUACAAACAUGUGACAGAUUUGAUUCACACUCUGUGAACUUUUAAAAUCUGUGAACAUAACCAAGCAAAUGAUGAAACCAUCAAAGAAAAAGAGUGUUUUAUUAAAGUGGUUAAUCUUACACACACUCAUCAUCAUGCAUUUUAAAAUGUUAUAUCUAAAUUGGAUACAUGCAUGAAUAUGAAUGUUGAUGAUAAAUGUGAUGAAAAUUCAAAUAUAUGAGGAACAGGGAUUUUGGAAACUAACCUAACAAGACCCAAUCUUGGGGACCAAAAAUAGAAAUUUUUAUNNNNNNNNNNNNNNNNNNNNNNNNNNNNNNNNNNNNNNNNNNNNNNNNNNNNNNNNNNNNNNNNNNNNNNNNNNNNNNNNNNNNNNNNNNNNNNNNNNNNGAAAUAGGUCAUAAGCAUAUCAAAUUUUAAUUAAUCUUAAGUGGAGUAAUCCUUACUGAAGGGUUAAUAUGUAUGUACAAACCUAUGUUCUAAGUUUUUGAUAAUACAUAGAGUAUGAUUAGUUCUACUAGAAUAUCUUGAAGAUUCGUAGAAACUGAUCACUUCCAUGAAUCAACCAGAUACAAAUAAGUGAUAGAGUUGACUCUUACUCUGUGAACAUCCAAAAACUGUGAACAUAACCAAGCAAAUGAUGAAACCAUCAAAGAAAAAGAGUGUUUUAUUAAAGUGGUUAAUCUUACACACACUCAUCAUUAUGUAUCUUAAAAUGUCAUAUCUAAUUUGAAUACAUGCAUAAAUAUGAUUGUUGAUGAUCAAUGUGAUGAAAGAUCAAAUAUAUGAGGAACAUGGAUUUUGGAAACUAAUCUUGCAGGACCCAUUUAACCAUGGGUACCAAAAAUAGAAAUUUAUCUAACCUGCAGGUACUUGGUCUAUCUGACCACAUUAAGAAAUGCUGAAGCAGAUGACUUCAGUUGAGAAGAUUCGACCAGCUAGAGGCUUAAGACAUUUCAGAAAUGUUUCUGACAAAAUUCUUCAUUAUCAAAGCCUGUCCUUGAAGACUUGCUGAACUAACAUGAAUGAAGCUCACAUGGUUGCUGAUCUCCAUAUGGAAGCAGACCUUUCAUCCUAAGACAAAAAGAGUCUUAUAUGCUCAAUCUUGCAAACCAUAUCAUUUAAGAAGAACCCUCGAGCAACUUUUUAUAGAAGCAAAACUCCACAAGUAUAAACCAUCAAAGAAGACUACGUUCGUAGUUCUGUCAAAACUAUCGUAGAAUGAUCAAUCCUGAAAAUACUUAUUUCUAUGAUCCAAGGAGGUUUAAAUGAUAGUGAUGAUUCCAGUCAGAAGGAGAUAUGCUAGACUGCCUUCUGAUGCACAUGAAGAAGAACUCACACUUCUCUGAAAAGAAAAUAUCAAUUAUGGGGGAUCAGUGAUUUGUUAAAGAACAACAACACUAAAAAUAUCAAAAGUUCACUAUGAAGCAUUAUACCAGUUACAAAGUCCCAAAAUUUUGUGGCUGAUGAACCAAAUGAAGAUCCAUAGUUAGUAGGAACGUCUAAAAACGUGCCACUGAUAACCUUGUCAACCACCCAACUCAAAAUCGUGGAGCGCCUACGAUUGAACAUCUGAUCGUAGUGUAAGAACAGGAGGACACCACGAUUACAGCCAAUGCAAAUGUCUAAAGUUGGUAGAUGAACUCUCCAACAAAAAAAGAUCAAAAUGAGAUAUCAGUACUAAUCAAAGUCUAAGGUUCUUCAUCUGGUAAGCGCCUCAAGGACAAACCUGACCCUUAGUUCACUCUAAGAGGUUGGCCCUUCCUGAGCCACCUUAACCCAGAAGGAAUGCCAAGUCUAGUUCAUCUCAAAGACCAGAACAGACAACGUUCGUAGAGUAGAUUUUGUAGUGAACUCGACGAUCGUAGCGCAACCUCAACAAUCAUAGAGUAGACUCGACGAUCGUAGUCUUCCCAAAAGGAUACACUAUCUCAUGAGCUCGGAAGAACUAGACACAUGCUCAACUGUUCAGAUCGUGUAGAGAUAAGUUCAAAAACAAUUUUGAAAGAUGCUCUGUAAACUCACCUCAGAAUUUCAAUGCCCGAAUUAUCUCGGAGUACAUAAGUGGUUAAGCCAUGCAACUUCAAGAUGAGAAUUAGUGUCAAAUCAUCCACUGAAGCAUCUCUCAGAAGACAAUCAUUGAGUCGACAAAGAAAAUCAUAGAGUCCAUAGCUACCUCACCAAGCUACUCUACGCACUAAAAAAGUCAACGGUUAAUCUACGUCAGUAAUGCUUAUUUUCUUAAAAGAAAUUAAAACUGAAAGACCAUUCAGGUAAUAGGGGGUUACAAUUUCUUACUGAGCAUCGUGCAACCAAUGACUGGUUGACACAUCACAACUCAUGUAGAGUCAGAAGGAACCAUCGUAAAGACAAAUUCAAAAUCUCCAAACAGUCAUCAGAAGCUAUCGAAACUCUCUCCCUCUUUUUUUCAAACCCUAAAAUCCUCUUCAAAGCCUGAAUCCAUUAAACAUCUAGAUUCGCCCAAAUCGCAUUCAACUAUAUCUCAUAAGAGGUCUGAAACUAAAUACCCAUAUAUUUUGAACCCUCAAAAUGGAAGAAUGGCGUGUUAUAACCGGAAUCCAACUCGGCUUCAAAAAGUUCGAAAAAUCAGAAAAGAAGUUCAAGGAUAUACUUGAGCUUGUAAAGAAUUCUGGGUUUUCUGAAUUCUUGGAAGCUAACACUCCAGUCUAUACUGAGCUAGUGAAGCAAUUCUACUCCAAUGCAUCGAUAGAAUCUAGGCUUCUGUCCACAAAGGUCAAAGGAGUAAGCCUGAAAUUAAGGGCAUCAGACAUCAACCAAUGUUUAGGGUUUCCUGACAAAGGUUUGAUAAACCUUGAGGAAGUUGACAUUGAAGAAGGCAAGAAGUUAAUGCGUUACAGGAGGAACAUAAAUUUGAAAGAUAUGAAGGAGUUUCCUGAAGAAUUUGAGUUCUUAGCUGAGAUUACGGGAAAAUGUAUCUUGUGCAAGGAUACUACACAUGAUAUUGUCAAUGAUCCGCAAAUGAGAGUUAUGACUGCAAUAGUCAUGAAGCAACAGAUGAACUUCGGAGCCCUUCUAAUUGAUUGGUUAACCAAAUGGUUGGAAAAGGCUAAGAUGAAGAAGUCUACAGAUAAACCUCUUACAAAGGUUUUUCAUGGAAGACUCUUGAUCAUUAUACUAAAGAAGAAACUGAAAAGCAAGAUAAAAGAUGAUGAGGAAGAACCACUGAAUGUUCAUAAAGUGAUGUCCCCACAGUUGUUCGAAAACUGGAAGAAAAAUCCCAAGGAAAACAGGAGGCUAAUGACAUCUAGCAGCAGCAACAAGGUCUCUACAAAGAAGAGGAAGGCAAAAGAAAUGGAAGGCAAGAUAUCUCAAUCUGAUGAAUCUGUACCUGUAGCAGCCACUCCAGCAAAGAAGAAAUCUAAGAGUGUGAAGAAUAUAGAGGCUCCACCAAGUAGUCUCUCCAAUGACAAGAAGAGGCAUGGGGCAAGAGAAGAAAAAGCAUCAACUGCAGUAAUCCCAAAAAAAAGAAGAAGUAACAGAUUACUCCAAGGGCCAUCCAAGAAGAAAGCAAAGGUGAUGAAGAAGUCAGUUCCAGCUCCUCAAAGAAGUCUAUCUACCAAAGAAGAGAACGAAGAUUCAGAAGAUGAGAAGAGAACUGAGAGCUUCAAGGAUGAAUCCUCAAGGAGCAAGUCCAGUAAUGAAGAAGAAGUUGAAUCCAAGAAGGAGAAAGCUGAACCGAUGAAAGGAAUAGCUAAAUCUGGUAAUGAAGAAGAAUGUACAAGUCCUAUGACUAACACUUAGAGUAACAACUCUGAUGAUGAAGAAAGUUUAAAAGUUGAAACAACUGCAUCUCCUACAGCUAAAGUCCCAACAAGUUCAUCUAAUGGUUCAAAAGAUGUUGAGUCCAAAGAAGGACCUGCCCGUACUGUGGCUGAACAUCAAGGAAGCUUAUCUGAUGAUACAGUGGCUUCAGACUCUGAAGAAGAAAAAGAAUUUUAAACUUCUAUAGUUGAACCUCAAAGGAGUAGAAAGAGCAACAGACUGUUUGCUAAAUCUAUCUCAAACAAGACAGGAGAACCCUCUACUGCAAUCAUUGAAUUGAGCGAUGAUAAGUUUGAAUCCAAGGGAGAAGAUGCUGAAGAAGGUACUAGUAAUGAAAAUAGCAUGAAGGAUUCACUGAUGAAUUAGAUGAAAGAAGUCAGCAUGAUUCGAGCUCAGAAGGUGAAGAUAUGGAAAAAAUUCUAGUUCUACAAACCAGGAAUCAGAGGAAUCGAUAGACUAUCAUGUUCUCUCUCCAGCAAGAAUUCGCAGAAGAAUAGUGGUGGAAGUCUUUGAUGAACCUCUAGAUGCACCACUAGAGAGAUGGAUAAGCUAUGAAAACGAAUAACUCAAAGUUAUAAGAAUGACUACAUACGAUGUGUUUAACAACUAGAAAAACAUGGAGUUAAACUGCACUACAAUUUUGUACAAUCCUGAUGAUCUUCUGAUGAGAUGGUUCUUCCCAUGGAUUCCCUGGUUAAAGGCAUAUAUUGAAAAAGAUGGAAGUUACUUCAGCUGGUGUUACUCACAGUUUCCGAACUUGGAGCUGAUGGCAUAGAACUUUUCAAGGGUAAAGAAGUUUGCAACUAAGAUAAUCAAAGACCAGUCUCACUUUAAAGUUUAUCGACAUGCUGGUAACCACUAUAUUCCUUACGAUAGUAGAGUUGGAUCUGAUGGCAAAAGGAUUAUACCCAAGUGCUUGAUCAUAGAGUCCCUUCACUCUACCACUAAAGAUGAUCAAGUGUAGUUUGAAAAGCUUCCCUCUGUCCAAGUACAAAUGUCUGAAAUUCCUUCAUCCUCCAAUAGUGAUUGGCACUCAACGAUUUAUCAGAUUCUCACUGCUUUCGAAAAACUAUCCCAGAAUGAAAAUCGUAGAGUCGAAUCUGAUGCUCAACAAGAGUCUGCCCAACCAAAUGACCAAACUCCUACGGAGCAGGAGUUACUGAAGAAUUCUGAUGAGUUGGUCAAGAAGAUAUCUAUCAUCACUGAAGAAGCAAAGAUGUUGACAAAAGCAGGAGAUAAUGUUGUUCAAAACAGACUCCAAGCAACUAUGUCUGAUAUGUCUCUCAAAAUCAAAGAGAGAGAUCAUAUAUAUCUGAAGGCUAUGAAUGAUUAAGAAAGAAGAAGCUAUACGAGCACAGAAGGCUAAUGAAGGGCAAAUUCUCUCUUUUUCUCUUUGACAAGAUUGACAAUCUGAAUCAGUCUCUCUCCCUACAACUUGAGAUGAGCCAACAAGAACUCAAGAUUGAGGUUGGUAACUCAUCUUACCUGAUGGAGCAACUUAUGUCAAAUGUAGAGCAGCUUUCCCAAGUAAUUAAUGACAAAAAGGGGGAGAAAAAGAGACAAAAAGAGGCACUCAAGGGGGAGUAAGGAGAACAGGAGAAAAGAAGAAAAGAAGGCCAAGAGAAAGGCAAGGGAACAAAAGAAAAAGACAAAAGUAGUAGAAGCAGCAGAGGCAGAAUCAUCAUCUGAGGGGGAGCUAAAGGAUGAUGAUCUCAUGAAUACAGAGUCUGAGGGGAGCAGAGAAAAGAAAUAAAGUCACCAUCCCAGGGUUGCAGAGUUGAAAGAUCGUUGAAGAAAUAAAGUCACCAUCGCAGGGUUGCAGAGAAAAGAAAUAUAUCAUUCCAACAACUCAACGAUCCUUCAAUUCUGCAACCAUGGGAUGGUGACUUUAUUUCUUUUCUCUACUCCCCCUCAGACUCUGUAUUAAUGAGAUCAUCAUCCUUUGACUCUCCCUCAGAUUAUGAUCUGCUUCUGCUACUUCUGCUACUGCUGUCUUCUUCUUUUGUUCCCUUGCCUUUCUCUUGGCCUUCUUUUCUUCUUUUCUCAUGUUCUCCUUACUCCUCCUUGAGUGUCUCUUUCUGUGUCUCUUUUUCUCCCCCUUUUUGUCAUUAAUCACUUGGAAAAGCUGUUCUACGUUUCACAUAAGUUGUUCCAUCAGGUAAGAUGAGUUACAAACCUCAAUCUGGAGUUCUUGUUGGUUCAGCUCAAGCUAUAGGGAGAAAGACUGAUUCAGAUUGUCAAUCUUGUCAGAGAGAGAGAGAAUUUGCUCUUUAUUAGCCUUCUGUGCUCGUAUAGCUACUUCCUUCUGAUCAUUCAUAGCCUUCAGAUAUAUUUGAUCUCUCUCUUUGAUUUUGAGAGAUAUAUCAGAUAUAGUGGCUUGGAGUCUGUCUUGAACCAAAUUAUCUCCUGCUUUUGUUAACAUCUUUGCUUCUUCAGUGAUGAUAGAUAUCUUCUUUACCAACUCAUUAGAAUUCUUCAGUAACACCUACUCCGUAGUAGUUUGGUCAUUUGGUUGGGCAGACUCUUGUUGAGCAUCAGAUUCGACUCUACGAUUUUCAUUCUCAGACAGUUUUUCGAAAGCAGUGAGAAUCUGAUAAAUCGUUUAGUGCCAAUCACUAUUGGAGGAUGAAGGAAUUUCAGACAUUUGUGCUUGGACAGAGGGAAACUUUUCAAACUACACUUGAUCAUCUUUAGUGGUGGAGUGAAGGGACUCUACGAUCAUGCACUUGAGUAUAAUCCUUUUGCCAUCAGAUCGGACUCUACUAUCGUAAGGAAUAUAGUGGUUACCAGCAUGUCGAUAAACUUUGAAGUGAGACUGGUCUUUGAUCAUCUUAGUUGCAAACUUCUUUACCCUUGGAAAGUUCUGUGCUACCAGCUCCAAGUUCGGAAACUGUGAGUAACACCAGCUGAAGUAACUUCCAUCUUUUUCAGUAUAUGCCUUUAACUAGGGCAUCAAUGGGAAGAACCAUCUCAUCAGAAGACCAUCAGGAUUGUACAGAAUUGUAGUGCAGUCUAACUCCAUGUUUUUCCAGUUGUUAAACACAUCAUAUGUAGUCAUUCUUACAACUUUGAGUUGUUCGUUUUCAUAGCUUAUCCAUCUCUCUGGUGGUGCAUCUGGAGGUUCAUCAAGGACUUCCACCACUAUUCUUCUGCGAACUCUUGCUAGAGAGAGAACAUGAUAGUCUACCGAUUCCUCUGAUUCUUGGUUUGUAGAACAAGAAUUUUUUUCCAUCUCUUCACCUUCUGAGCUCGAAUCAUGCUGACUUCUUUCAUCUAAUUCAUCAGUGAAUCCUUCAUGCUAUUUUCAUUACUAGUACCUUCUUCAGCAUCUUCUCCCUUGGAUUCAGACUUAUCAUCGCUCAAUUCAAUGAUUGCAGUAGAGGGUUCUCCUGUCUUCUUUGAGAUAGAUUUAACAAACAGUCUGUUCCUCUUUCUGCUCCUUUGAGGUUCAGCUAUAGGAGUUUCAGAUUCUUUUUCUUCUUUAGAGUCUGAAGCCCCUGUAUCAUUAGAUAAGCUUCCUUGAUGUUCAACCACAGUACGAGCAGGUCCUUCUUUGGACUCAACAUCUUUUGAACCAUUAAAUGAAAUUGUUGGGACUUCAGCAGUAGAAGAUGCAGUUGUUUCAGCUUUUAAAUUUUCUUCAGCAUCAAAGUUAUUACUCUGAAUGUUAGUCAUAGGACUUGUACAUUCUUCUUCAUUACCAGAUUUAGCUAUUCCUUUCAUAGGUUCAGCUUUCUCCUUCUUGGAUUCAACUUCUUCUUCAUUAGUGGACUUGCUCCUUGAGGAUUCAUCCUUGAAGCUCUCAUUUCUCUUCUCAUCUUUUGACUCUUCGUUCUCUUCUUUGGUAGAUAGACUUCUUUGAGGAGCUGGAACUAACUUCUUCAUCACCUUUGCUUUCUUCUUGGAUGGUCCUUAGAGUAAUCUGUUACUUUUUCUGCUUUUUGGGAUUGCUGCAGUUGAUACUUUUUCUUCUCCUGCUCCAUGUCUCUUCUUGUCAUUGGAGAGACUGCUCGGUGGUGCCUCUAUAUUCUUCACACUCUUAGAUUUCUUCUUUGCUGGAGUGGCUGCUACAGGUACAGAUUCAUCAGAUUGAGACAUCUUGCCUUCGAUUUCUUUUGCCUUCCUCUUCUUUGUAGAGACCUUGUUGCUGCUGUCAGAUGUCAUUAACCUCAUGUUUUCCUUGAGAUUUUUCUUCCAGUUUUCGAUCAACUGUGUGGACAUCACUUUAUGAACAUUCAGUGGUUCUCUCUUAUCAUCUUUUAUUUUGCUUUUCAGUUUCUUCUUUAGUACAAUGUUCAAGAGUCUUCCAUGAAAAACCUUUGUGAGAGUUUAUUUGUAGACUUCUUUAUCUCAGCCUUUUCCAGCCAUUUGGUCAACCAAUCGAUUAGAAGGGCUCCGAAGUUCAUCUGCUGCUUCAUGACUAUUGCAGUCAUAACUCUCAUUUGUGGAUCAUUGACAAUAUCAUGUGCAGUGUCCUUGCACAAGAUGUAUUUUCUCGUAAUCUCAACUAAGAACUCAAAUUCUUCAGGAAACUCCUUCAUAUCUUUUAGUUUUACGUUCCUCCUGUAACGCAUUAACUAUUUGCCUUCUUCAAUGUCAACUUCCUCGAGGUUUAUCAGACCUUUUUUUAGGAAACCCUAGACAUUGGUUGAUGUCUGAAGCCCUUAAUUUCAGGCUUACUCCUUUGACCUUUGUGGACAGAAGCCCAGAUUCUAUCGAUGCAUUAGAGUAGAAUUGCUUCACUAGCUCGGUAUAGACUGGAGUGUUAGCUUCCAAGCAUUCAGAAAACCCAGCAUUCUUUACUAGUUCAAGUAUAUCCUUGAACUUCUUUUCUGAUUUUUCGAACUUUUUGAAGCCGAGUUGGAUUCCGGUUAUAACACGCCAUUCUUCCAUUUUGAGGGUUCAAAAUCGAACUUUUUGAAGCCGAGUUGGAUUCCGGUUAUAACACGCCAUUCUUCCAUUUUGAGGGUUCAAAAUAUAUGGGUAUUUAGUUUCAGACCUCUUAUGAGAGAUAGUUGAAUGUGAUUUGGGCAAAACUAGAGGUUUAAUGGAUUCAUGCUUUGAAGAGGAUUUUAGGGUUUGAAAAAAGGAGGGAUAGAGGUUCGAUAGCUUUUGAUGACUGUUUGGAGAUUUUGAAUUUGUCUUUAUGAUGGUUCCUUCUGACUCUGCAUUAAUUGUGAUGUGUCAACCAGUUAUUGGUUGUACAAUGCUCAGUAAGAAACUGUAACUCCCUAUUAAUUGAACGGUCUUUCAGUUUUAAUUUCUUUUAAGAAAAUAAGCAUUACUGACGUAGAUUGACCGUUGACUUUUUUAGUGCGUAAAGUAGCUUGGUGAGGUAGCUAUGUACUCUAUGAUUUUCUUUGUCAACUCAACGAUUGUCUUCUGAGAGAUGCUUCAUGUGGAUGAUUUGACACUAAUUCUCAUCUUGAAGUUGAAUGGCUUAACCACUUAUGUACUCCGAGAUAGUUCGGGCACUGAAAUUCUGAGGUGAGUUUGCAGAGCAACUUUCCAAACUAUAUUUGAACUUAUCUCCACACGAUCUGAACAGUUAAGCAUGUGUCUAGUUCUUCCAAGCUCAUGAGCUAGUGUAUCCUUUUGGGAAGACUACGAUCGUCGAGUCUACUCUACAAUUGGUGAGGUUGCGCUACGAUCGUCGAGUUCAUUGCAGAAUCUACUCUACGAACAUUGUCUGUUCUGGUCUUUGAGAUGAACUAGACUUGGCAUUCCUUCUAGGUUAAGGAUGUGACACCCCGAAAAUAGGUCCAAUCCAUCCAACCUAUUCUGAGUCGCCAAAUAUAUGGUACAGAAAACAACUACAACUUUAUUACUACAAUUGUCGUGCAAAAUACAACAACACAUAUGUUGUGAGUUUUGAUACAAAUAUAUACCAAUUGUGACUCAUGUCCCAACCGUGGACAAUACCUUACAGUGAUGCCUUACAUAAAGGUACAGUCAAUAACUGUUUUAGAAAUUAAAAUCUUUGGGAAGUGCUCAAGGAAACCUUCGUACAUGGGAGGCCAUGCAUCUAAGUUGUAAUAGAUAUCAUAUGACUCGAGAAUUAUCCUUGGUUGACCCAAUAGACCCCAAAGAAAAAUGAAAAGAUUACUAUCAUGUUCUUUCCAAUGGUGAGUCUUCUCUUGACAUAUAAAUAUCUCCACUGUCUGUAAUUGAAAAUUAUAUUUCAACCAAACUCCAAGAUCAUAUAUGUAAGACCCCAACUUUUAUGAAUAAAGAUUAAUUUCUCUCGAAAUAUAUUUUUUGAAUAUUAUGGUAUGGAUAUGAUAUAAUGUUAUAGUUGUGGGUAAUAUUUACAAAUUUUGCAAAGUAAGCAAGUGGUUAUAUAAUAUUCGAUUGGUCGGGGAAUAUUCGUUUUAACAGGGAAUAUUCGUACGACGACACAAUCAUUGGUGGACCCCACAACAGAAGUAUUGUCGUAGUAAGAAAACGACAGAAUUAUAUUGUUAUAAAAAUAACGGCGGAAGUGUUACCGUUAAAACUGUUGAACUACCCGGUAGUAAAAGUACAGUAAUACGCGUGAUUGCAUAGUAGCACACGGUAUUGNNNNNNNNNNNNNNNNNNNNNNNNNNNNNNNNNNNNNNNNNNNNNNNNNNNNNNNNNNNNNNNNNNNNNNNNNNNNNNNNNNNNNNNNNNNNNNNNNNNNNNNNNNNNNNNNNNNNNNNNNNNNNNNNNNNNNNNNNNNNNNNNNNNNNNNNNNNNNNNNNNNNNNNNNNNNNNNNNNNNNNNNNNNNNNNNNNNNNNNNNNNNNNNNNNNNNNNNNNNNNNNNNNNNNNNNNNNNNNNNNNNNNNNNNNNNNNNNNNNNNNNNNNNNNNNNNNNNNNNNNNNNNNNNNNNNNNNNNNNNNNNNNNNNNNNNNNNNNNNNNNNNNNNNNNNNNNNNNNNNNNNNNNNNNNNNNNNNNNNNNNNNNNNNNNNNNNNNNNNNNNNNNNNNNNNNNNNNNNNNNNNNNNNNNNNNNNNNNNNNNNNNNNNNNNNNNNNNNNNNNNNNNNNNNNNNNNNNNNNNNNNNNNNNNNNNNNNNNNNNNNNNNNNNNNNNNNNNNNNNNNNNNNNNNNNNNNNNNNNNNNNNNNNNNNNNNNNNNNNNNNNNNNNNNNNNNNNNNNNNNNNNNNNNNNNNNNNNNGAAUAACCUGUUUAUGCGAAGUACCGCAUACAUGGUGAAAUUCUUCUGUUAUUCCAUUCUUCAUUAUUAUGUUGGAAUAACUUAUUUAUGUGAAGUACCGCAUACAUGGUGAAAUUCUUCUAUUAUUCCGUUCUUUAUUAUUUUAUCGGAAUAUCCUGUCUGUGCGUUUACGCCGGACCUGGUUCCAUCAUUUAUUAUUCUGUUGGAAUAUCCUGUCUGUGCGUUUACGCCGGACCUGGUUCUAUUAUUUAUUAUUCUGUCGGAAUAUCCUGUCAGUGCGUUUAUGCAUGACCUGGUUCCAUUCUUUAUUAUUCUGUUAGAAUAACCUGCCUGUGCGGUCUAUCGCAUGCAUGGUAAUUUCUUCUGUUAUUCCAUUCUUUAUCAUUCUGUUGGAAUAACCUGUCUAUGUGGAUUAUCACAUGCAUGGUGAAUGAUCCUUUGUAUUCAUUCCUUAUUAAAUUGUGGAAAUGAUCUGUCUAAGUGGAUUACCGCAUGGCAGACGAAAAUCCAUUUGCAGUUUUAUAUAUUCUCUUAUACUCAGUUGGCUAAAGUUUUGACUUCUAUACUCCAUGAAAUUAAUGGAAUAUCCUUGAUAUUUGCGCUUCAUCCAAUACCUUUUAAUGGAAAUAUUCUUCUGAGCAUUCUUGAAUUUUUACUCCACAAAGAAGUAUCAUGUUGACAAUUUGGACAUUAUUGAGUUCGGGAUAAAUUAACUUAUAAAUCUUUAAAAUUUAUUCUUGAACUUGUUUUAUUGAAUUAUUAUGUUAUUGUCAUCAUCCUCAUGCUUAUAUUGUGAUUAAAGUCAUCUUUGGCUUACUUGCAUAGAUGGACUUUGUAUGAUUAUGACCAGGGAUCAUUCGGUAUAAUCAUGACCUGUAAUGUUAUAAAUGAGGUGGUAAAAGUCCUCAGUAGCCUGUAGUGCAUUGAUGGACAGUUUUUGGUAUGAUUAUGACCUGUGAUUAUUCGGUAUAGUCAUGACCAUUGAUGGUUUAAUGAAUAUCCUUGGCCCGUAGUGCAGGAAUGACUCGAUGAUGUGGUUUAUUUGUUAAGCUGAGUCUCAGCGAUAAAAAUUGAUGAAAACUUUUUAAAUUAUAGAAGAUAGUAGAUUUUAUUCUCUACUUGACUCUUCUAAUGGAUUGCUUGUUCCGCUGCAGUUAAACUAGAUGUCUAUUAUAUUUUAUCAGUUUAACAUUUUUAAAGACUAAUGAUAAUUUAUUCUGCAUUAUCUUAGUCACGAUAUUUCUUACUAGGCUAGUUGAGCUCACCCUUUCCUUUCACUGUUCUCUUCAGGAAAUGAGAAUAUAGCUGGGAUGAGUCGGGGAACAGAGUGACGGUCUAGAUGAUAGCAUUAGUAGUCCUCACUAUUCUGUUAAAUAGUGUGACAAUAAAUAUAAUGAGGACUCCAUUGAGUGUGGAUAUUGUCUAGAUGAUAAUAUUCUUAUUAAAACUCUCAGUUUAUGUUUUGUCGUAUUUUACACGACAGUUGUAUUAUUAAGUUGUAUUUGUAUUUUUGUACCAUGUAUUUGGCGACUCAAGAUGGGUGAUGUAUACCUAUUUUGGGGUCGUCACAGUUGGUAUCAAAGCUUAGGGAUAUGAUCCCUGGCUGAGAUGUGAGACAAGAACUAGGAGGGGAGCAACGGGGAAUUCCUUCGCUAGUAUGACCUACCUAAGCUUAUGUGUUAUUUAAUUGGUCGGUUAGAGUAUUAGGAUAAUAUGUGAUAUGUUAAUUAACCCUUGUUUUGUUGCAGUAUUUGAAAAUGGCAUCCGAAAAUGUUGAGAUAAACAAUGAAGCACAUGAGACCGUUGAGUCACCAACGAUCAAUGCCCAGGGUAAUGUGCAACAGGAAGGCAAUAAUCCUCAUGAAAACAAUAACACCGAUGAAAUGGUGAACGAUGGGAUGUUCAGAGGUUUUAUGCAAUUCAUGCAACAUCAGGCGAAGGCGGCUCCUGUCCAAAAUGCAGGUGGAAACGCUGACAACUCUCGGACGGUCACUGCUAAGCAGUUUAAGGAGCUGGGACCACCGGAGUUUUUUGGAGAGCCAAAACCACUUAAGGCGGAGACGUGGAUAAAGCAGAUCAACAAGAUAUUUGAUGUCUUGGGAUGCUCCGAGGAACAAAAGGAGUGGAAACCACUUCGGUGGUAAUCAUGGCCAAGACAAUAGGAGUGGAAAGUUCAAGAAGAGAAGGUUCAACAAAGAUGGAAAUACGUCAACACUAGCACUCGCUGUUAAGGAAGGAGAAUGACCACCGGUCGUAUGUUACAAAUGUGGAGGGGAAGGACACAUAAGUCCAAAUUGCACAAUGCAGUCCAAAGCAUGUUAUAAUUAUGGAAAAGAAGGCCACCUAGCCCGAUUUUGCCGUACACCAAAGUCAAGUCCAGCUGGGAUGGAGGCAUCAAAUGGGUUCCAGACAAGACAAAACUGGUAGUUCAAGGGAGAGUGUUUGUCGUAACCUCCCAAAAAGCGAGGAAUCCGAACGAGGUUAUCACGGGUAAGCUAAUCAUAAACUCUAGCGAAGUUUAUACUUUAUUUGAUACUGGUUCUACCCAUUCUUUCAUUUCUCCUACUUGCGUUCAACGUUUAAAUUUGACUCCGGAGAAAUUAGACUUUGACUUAUCUGUUGAAACUCCGUUGGGAGAAACCUUCAUUACAUCCACUGUUUAUAAGUCUUGUUUGAUUCAAAUCGGUAACCGCACAUUACCUGUCGAUCUUAUUUCUUUGAAAAUACUUNNNNNNNNNNNNNNNNNNNNNNNNNNNNNNNNNNNNNNNNNNNNNNNNNNNNNNNNNNNNNNNNNNNNNNNNNNNNNNNNNNNNNNNNNNNNNNNNNNNNNNNNNNNNNNNNNNNNNNNNNNNNNNNNNNNNNNNNNNNNNNNNNNNNNNNNNNNNNNNNNNNNNNNNNNNNNNNNNNNNNNNNNNNNNNNNNNNNNNNNNNNNNNNNNNNNNNNNNNNNNNNNNNNNNNNNNNNNNNNNNNNNNNNNNNNNNNNNNNNNNNNNNNNNNNNNNNNNNNNNNNNNNNNNNNNNNNNNNNNNNNNNNNNNNNNNNNNNNNNNNNNNNNNNNNNNNNNNNNNNNNNNNNNNNNNNNNNNNNNNNNNNNNNNNNNNNNNNNNNNNNNNNNNNNNNNNNNNNNNNNNNNNNNNNNNNNNNNNNNNNNNNNNNNNNNNUGGGUGAUAGUGGACAGAUUGACAAAAUCUGCACACUUUUUGCCAAUAAAGAUUAGAUUCAAUCUUGAUCAGCUGGCAAAGUUAUAUGUUAAAGAGAUCGUGUUGAGACAUGGAGUUCCAGUGUCAAUUAUGUCAGAUAGAGAUCCGAGGUUCACAUCAAACUUCUGGAAGAGACUACAAGAAUGUAUGGGAACCCAGUUGUGAAUGAGUACUGCAUAUCAUCCGCAAACAGAUGGCCAAAGAGAACGAACGAUUCAGACAUUGGAAGAUAUAUUGAGAGCAUGCGUCAUGGAUUUCAAAGGAAGCUGGGAUGAACAAUUUCCAUUGGUGGAAUUUGCCUACAAUAUAAGCUACCAUGCAAGCAUCGGCAUGCCGCCUUACGAAGCAUUGUACGGCAGAAAGUGCAGAACUCCACUGUGCUAGGAUGAAGUUGGUGAACGUCAACUAUUAGGACCAGAACUGGUACAACAAACUGCUGAGGUUGUCAAACUCAUCAGAACAAGAUUGAUAGCUGCUCAAGAUAGACAAAAGAAAUAUGCUGAUCAACAUAGACAAGAUUGUGCAUUCGACGUAGGAAGUUACGUUUUCCUAAAAGUUUCUCCUUGGAAGGGGAAGAUUCGAUUUGGUAAAAAGGGGAAACUAAGCCCGAGGUUUAUUGGACCCUUCGAAGUGCUGAGGAAAGUUGGAGAGGUAGCUUACGAGGUAGCUCUACCUCCAGAAUUGCAAAACAUUCAUAAUGUUUUUCACGUGUCGGUGUUACGACCGUAUAAAUCUGAUUACAAGCACGUAAUUGAGUACGAACCAUUGCAGUUUGAGAAAGAUUUAUCCUAUGAAGAGGUUCCUAUCCAGAUAGUCGACAGGAAAGAACAAGUGCUCAGGAAUAAGGUGAUACCUUCUGUAAAGGUAAUUUGGAGGAACCACAAUGUUGAAGAGACUACAUGGGAACUCAAAGCUGAAAUGAUGAAGAAUUAUCCUGAGUUAUUUGUUUAAUCUAUGUCUUCGAUUAUGGGGACAGAAUCUUUGUAAGUAGGGGAGAUUAUGACGAAUGAAUUGUUUAAAUUGUGAUUCUGGGAACAGAAUCCUUGUAAGGAGGGAAUGAUGUAACAUUCUAGAAUUUUAAUUAUUAUAUUAAAUAUUUAUUGAAUUGUUUAAAUAUUUAAUGGAUGUGUUUAUUGUUAAAUAAAUAAUUAUUCAAAUUUGAAUUGAUGUGGUUAAUUAUUUGUUAAAUAAAUAAUUAAGGAAAAUUAAUUAUUUUGCUAAUUUAAUUUAAUUAUUAAGUUAGAGAAUUUUGAUUAAUUGAAUUACUAUUAUUUUUAUUGGAAUUUAUAAAUUUAAAAGGAUGUGUUAGUUGAAUUAAAUAAAGUUAUAAUUAUAUAGAAAAUUAUAAUUUUGUGAUAUUGAUUUAUAUGAUGUAGUAAUUUAAUAAAUUGUUAUUAGAAUUAUUUUAAUUAAAUAAAAGUGGGACGAAUAACCUUUUAUUAUGUAGUUAUUAAAAUAACUUAAAGGAGUUUUAAUUCAGUUUUGCCAAACAAGGCCUAAUGCCUAUUAAGUUUUUAAUAUAAUUGUGUUUUACCAAACAAGGUGUAAGGAUUAAUAGGUUAUUUUUUAGUUAGUAACCAAACAAGCCUUAUGACUUUUGAUUUUUAAAACUCAUAUAACUGAUAUCAGUUAUAUGUUUUGUAUUUAUAUUAUAUAAUUAAUAUAUAUUAUAUUCUAUAUACAUUAUUUGUUAAGUACGUUAGAUAGAGAGAGAGAAGAAAAGAAAACUCAGAAUAAGAAGAAAAAGGGAAGAAGAAGAGAAGAAGAAGAGAAGAGAGGAAGAAAGGCUAGAGAGUGGGAAGAAGGAGCUUGAGAAUAGAAAGGAUAGUCAUCAUCUUCUUCAAGGUAUUACCCUAUUCUUUUUAAGUUUUAAAAGUUUUAGUUUCUUUUCUCCUAUUUUUUUGUAAAAUUCUUGUGAUAGGAUAAUUAUUGAUUUUAUGUGUGUUCAUAUGAUAAACUAGUGUUGUAAAGUUAUUUUCAUAGGUUAUAUAUGAUUAUAAUCAAUGUAUUGUUGUUAUGUAUGAAGUUUGUGAAGAAAACCUUUUUACAGAGAGUUUUUGGUGAUUAUAUAUUGUUUAGUUAAAAUAGAAAUUGAGGGUUAAUUAGUUGUUUAGUUGAUAAAUUGACCAUUUAAUUUGAUAGAGCAUGUAUAAUUGUUGAUAAAAAUACUUUGAAUUAGUGGUUUUGGUUGAAAAACAAAAGUUACAGUGUUGAUUUUCAUUGAAAUAUAAAAAAAAAUUAGUUUUAGCCAAAAAUAGUGAAUUUGGGUGUGUUAAUUUUGUUGUUUAUGUUGUUGUAUGGGUAGAAUCAUGUUUAGAGUUUUUCAAAUAUGUUUACAUGAAGUCUCUAUAUGAUUUAUGUGCUAAUUAGUCUGUUAGAAACGAGCUUGUAGGCCAAAAUUGGCUUUUUCUGUGCUGUUGCCGAGGCUGUCUGCCAAGGUCUGCAAUUCGGCGCGGACUUGCAGUACCUUUGUGGCACCGCAGCGCCAUGCUCACGCCGCAGCGCGGUCUUGUAGCCUUGAUCUCUGCGCCGCAGCGCCAUGCCCACGCCGCAGCGCGACCCACAUUGUAAACUGUGGUGCCGCGGCACGAGUUAGCAGAAUGGUCUGACAGUGUACUUUUUGUACACAAAAUUUUAAGAAAAGUUAUGUGAUGAUAGUAGGACUGCUAAAUGUUAAUUUUAGUAUAUAUAUACUAUGAAUAAGUAUGUUAUUAACAAUUAACUUGUGUUAUAACUCGAUUAUGUGAUUAAAAAUCCAAUUUUAAAUGAUGAACGUACUUAGUUAUGUUUGUAAGAUGGUAAUGACUAAUUAUGUCAUGAUGACAUAUGUUUAUAGGAUAUUGUGAUUCGUAUUGAUUUGGUUUAGCCUACGAGCAAGGCAAGUUCUCUAACUCUACUUUUAAAAUUGUGCAAGCGCUUAAAUUGUUCUUUGAGCAAGUGUUCUAAUCCAUUAUCUUGAUUGAAUCAAUUAUUGUUUCCAAUAUAAUAAUGCAAGAUUUCUAAUUCUUUAUCUUGUUGAACUAUUUAUUGUUUCAAUUCGAUUACCUUAUGAAUGAUGCAAGCUUUCUAAACUUUGGUUUAAUGUUGACAAGUUAUUCUUGUAUUUAACUUGUUGUUUAGCAUGCACAACUAUUUAUACUAAUGUUGAGCAAUUUCAUCGUUCAAACUGUUAUGCAUGCUUAGUACUCAAUUCUAAUUAACCUUGACUUAAUAUUGUUCAAGCAAGGCAUGUUAUAGUUAUUCAAAGUAUAUGCUAUUAGAUUAUUCCUAAAGCAUGAUUUUGGUUUACCAUGUUGAUUCAAUUACGAUUAUUCUGUAAUAUGAUGUUAUUAAUUCAACUAGUCCUCUAGUUGAUGAUCGUUGAACUUCAAAUUACCCUUGAAAGCUUAUCCAAACCAAACUCUCUUUGGUGCGGACUUGUACUCCAAAUACUGAGAUGAACAACCCUAUUAUUAUUAGGGGAUAACUUACGCGUAGCGUUAAAUGUUUGUGCACAAUACAUGGUACGAAGGGCUGAUCCCCCUAAGUACGAGGAGUCCUUAUAGUCUUAUGACUGUUAAAGUUGGAGUUGAAAGAUUACUCGCAACUGUGGACAUAGUUCAUGGUCUUAUGACCCUCAGUUAUAUUUAUUCUACAUUUUGGAUGUCAGUUUCUGAUUAUAGAUGAUAGAGUACUAUUCAUCGUUGAUGAGCCUAUUAUUGGCAAUUAUUAUAACUAUACUCCUGUUGAUUUCAUAUUGUAUCCAGUGAUCAAUUGUUUUGCUCACUCUUGCAUUUUUUAAAACUCAUUGCAACUAAAGAAGAGAAGGUAGAUGAACCUUCGUCUAGCAAAGGAAUGGGAAAAAUGUGCAAGUAAUGAAGACUUGUAAUUUUUACUUUAGACUUUUAUUAUGAUGAUCUUAGACUUGGUUUUAAUGAAGUUUAUUUAAUUUUCGCAUUUGAAUGAUUGUAAUUAAAGGUUAGAUAACCUGGGAGAUUUUAUUAUGUAACCCUUUAAUGGGAAAGGUUUUAUUUAUCCAGUUUUAUUGUGAUUGGGUAGUUAGAUAUGAAUGUUUGAUUAAGUGACACAAGAUCCUAUGGGAAUGAAGUACCUGAAUUUGGGGGUGUCACAGGUUGGUAUCAAAGCCUUAGGUUAUGAACCUUAGGUGGGGGAAAAAACCUUAGGAAGUAACCUUCGAGAAGAUAGUGAUGAUAAACUCUUAUCGAGUUUUAAGGAAGAAGUAAUAAAACAUUUAUGUGCUUACGUGUUUACAACUAAUGUGCUCGUGAGAGUCGAGUAGUAAUGAUUAGUAACUAAAACUUAAAAAAUCUUGUUGUUAGGAUGACUAAUGUUGGAGAACCCAGUCAGGCUAGGGAGGGAGGACCUUAGAUGCCUAGAGAGGAGGAAUCUCGUGACAUUCAAGUGGUUUGGGAACAACUGCUUCCACGAGAGUCAGCUCCAUCGCUCACAGUGGUCGAAGAUGAGGAUGAUGAGAUAGAGACAGACGAUGAGGAAGAUCCUGUGGAGCUGCCACAGACUGAUGAAGAGGACGAGGAGGAAAGAAUUCCACUUAACUCGAUAGCUGGCCGUAUAUACGAUGAAGUGCAUGACCGCAACGUGGAACUUCAAGAUACUGACGAGGAAUUACAAGAGAUAGUAGCUGAGCAACAGGCCUCGUUGGCACAGAAGGACGACGAGAUCCAGGAUCGAGAAGAAUGACUGAACAAUGUUAAAGAGAAGCUGGUUCACACUGAAGAAGAGAAUGACCAAAUGAGAGCUGAGAUUUCAGAGUUGAAGAGCAAGUUGAGAGAAGAGUCUGCAAAAAGGGCAAGAGCCGAAGAUGCGUACCGUGAAGCUUACCAACAAGCCGAAAUAGCAGAGGGAGAUGCACAAGCAAAGAGAAGGAAGAUGGAAGAGAUGGAUAACGUGUUCAAAACCGCGAUCAAUCGAGCUCAAGACCGAGUCAUGGGUUAUCCAAUUCAGUUCGAGACGCUACCCUUGUUCAUACUAGAUCGUCGAACCAUGUUCCGAGUUAUGGAAGAAGAGCGACGUAAGGCUUUGCAGUAUCUUAAUAGGACAACAUAGGAAGUGAACUUGAUUUAUGAUUUAUGUUAUGAUAAAUAAUUUGUAAAUCCCAAGUGUUAUGCAACUUAUGGGAUAUGAUGAUGAUGUCCUGAAACUUUAGUAGUUCAGGAAAAUAAUUUAAGUAGCAGUGAUGUUAUUGAUAUGAUGUUUUCAAAGAAGUUUUGAAUAAAAGAUACUAUUUCUUUAUCCAAAGUGUUAUGUGUUAUGAAGUGAUUACUUUAUGGGGGCAAGUUAAUUAGAAAUUACUUGAAAGAGUUGAGUAAUAAUCUAAUGAGUGUAUUUUUAACAGAAAAUUCCUCCAAGACGUCAACCACCCCGUUAGAGAACCACCGAAGGAACCAACAACGUUAAUGCUGAAGCUAACCCCGUUCAGCAGUUGGUGACGUUACUGACAGGUGCACUGCAAAAUCAACCACAGAAUCAACCUCAGAACCAAGGUGCUACGUUUAAGGACUUCAAGGCGGUUGGACCACCAGAAUUUCGUGGAUCCAUGAAUCCAGUUGAAGCACAGACUUGGAUCAUGGAAAUUGAGAAGGUUUUUGAUGUUGCUAAGGUAGAGGAGAAUUAGAAGACUGCUUUUGCAACGUUUAUGUUGAAGGAGGAGGCUAGCUAUUGGUGGCAGGCCAACAAGACUCGGGAAGGACUAGGAGUAAUGACCUGGGAUAGGUUUAAGGAGUUGUUCUUCGAGACUUAUUUCCCUGAGAGUUUGAAGAGUCAACUAGAGGUCCAGUUUUUGGAGUUGAAGCAAGGAACAAUGUCGGUGUCGGAGUAUGCUACAAAGUUUAACAAUGUUUAUCGAUGAUAUUCUGGUGUACUCUAAAACUCAAGAGGAACAUGUGGAACAUUUACGUCUAACGCUGGAGACGCUAAGAAAAGAAAAGUUGUAUGCGAAAUUCUCUAAAUGUGAAUUUUGGCUGGAACGUGUACAAUUUCUUGGGCACGUAAUUGACAAGGAUGGAAUUUCAGUGGAUCCAUCAAAGGUUGAAGCUGUGAUAAAUUGGGAACAACCGAGAACUCCAUCAGAAGUGAAAAGUUUCUUGGGAUUAGCAGGGUAUUACAGACGGUUUAUCCAGGAUUUCUCCAAGAUAGCCACUCCGUUAACAAAUUUAACGAGGAAAUCUGUAAAAUUUGUUUGGACAGAGAAGUGUGAAGAAAGUUUCCAAGAAUUGAAGAAGAAGCUAAGUAUGGCACCUGUGUUGUCAUUACCAGAUAAUACAGGAAAUUUUAUGGUGAUAUAGUGAUGCUUCACACAAGGGAUUAGGAUGUGUCCUUAUGCAGAACGAAAAAGUUAUCGCGUAUGCAUCAAGGCAAUUGAAGGACAACGAAAGAGGGUAUCCGACUCAUGAUUUAGAGUUGGCGGCUGUUGUGUUUGCUUUAAAAAUAUGGAGACACUAUCUCUACGGAGAAAAAUGUGAGAUCUACACGGACCAUAAGAGUCUGAAGUACAUUUUCACUCAGAAGGACCUGAACAUGCGUCAAAGAAGAUGGAUGGAACUGAUAAAAGAUUAUGAUUAUGAGAUCUUUUAUCAUCCAGGCAAAACAAACGUGGUUGCAGAUGCCUUGAGUAGGAAAGGCAGGGAAAAGUUGAUGUUGUUAACUGAUAAGGAGGAGCUUAUUACAGCAAUAUUAAGGUUAGAGUUAGAAAUCAAAUUUCCAAGAGAAUCCGAUGAAAGAUGUUACCAGAUGGAAGUUAGUCCAACUUUGGUGGACAAAGUGAAGAACGCUCAACUGCAGGAUGAGGAAUACAAAAAAAUCAAAGAAAGUGUGGUUGAGCGAAAAGAGGUGAAAUACCAGAUUGAUACAGAUGGGAUGCUGAGAUUUGAAGGAUGAAUAUGGGUUCCAGCAGUACCAGAGAUUAAAGAAGAAAUCUUGACCGAAGCUCAUAACUCGAGAUAUUCGAUUCAUCCAGGAAGUACGAAAAUGUAUCAGGAUUUGCGGCGACAUUUUUGGUGGCCAAAUAUGAAAAGAGACGUUGCAGAAUGCGUUGCAAAGUGCUUGACAUGUCAGAGAGUCAAGGCCGAGCAUCAAAGACCAAGCGGGUUACUUCAACCGUUGGAGAUGCAGGAAUGGAAAUGGGAACAUAUCACAAUGGAUUUUGUGGUAGGUCUUCCAACAACUUAGAAAGGAUACGAUGCGAUUUGGGUGAUAGUGGACAGAUUGACAAAAUCUGCACACUUUUUGCCAAUAAAGAUUAGAUUCAAUCUUGAUCAGCUGGCAAAGUUAUAUGUUAAAGAGAUCGUGUUGAGACAUGGAGUUCCAGUGUCAAUUAUGUCAGAUAGAGAUCCGAGGUUCACAUCAAACUUCUGGAAGAGACUACAAGAAUGUAUGGGAACACAGUUGCGAAUGAGUACGGCAUAUCAUCCGCAAACAGAUGGCCAAAGCGAACGAACGAUUCAGACAUUGGAAGAUAUGUUGAGAGCAUGCGUCAUGGAUUUCAAAGGAAGCUGGGAUGAACAAUUACCGUUGGUGGAAUUUGCCUACAAUAACAGUUACCACGCAAGCAUCGGCAUGCCGCCUUACGAAGCAUUAUACGGCAGAAAGUGCAGAACUCCACUGUGCUGGGAUGAAGUCGGUGAACGUCAACUGUUAGGACCAGAACUGGUACAACAAACUGCUGAGGUUGUCAAACUCAUCAGAACAAGAUUGAUAGCUGCUCAAGACAGACAAAAGAAAUAUGCUGAUCAACACAGACAAGAUCGUGCAUUCGACGUAGGAAAUUACGUUUUCCUAAAAGUUUCACCUUGGAAGGGAAAAAUUCGAUUUGGUAAAAAGGGGAAACUAAGCCCGAGGUUUAUUGGACCCUUCGAAGUGCUGCGAAAAGUUGGAGAGGUGGCUUACGAGGUAGCUCUACCUCCAGAAUUGCAAAACAUUCAUAAUGUUUUUCACGUUUCGGUGUUACGACCAUAUAAACCUGAUUACAAGCACGUGAUUGAGUACGAACCAUUGCAGUUUGAGAAAGACUUGUCCUAUGAAGAGGUUCCUAUCCAGAUAGUCGACAGGAAAGAACAAGUGCUCAGGAAUAAGGUGAUACCUUCUGUGAAGGUAAUUUGGAGGAACCACAAUGUCGAAGAGGCUACGUGGGAACUCGAAGCUGAAAUGAUGAAGAAUUACCCUGAGUUAUUUGUUUAAUCUGUGUCUUCGAUUCUGGGGACAGAAUCUUUGUAAGUAGGGGAGAAUGUGACGAAUGAAUUGUUUGAAUUGUGAUUCUGGGGACAGAAUCCUUGUAAGGAGGGAAUGAUGUAACAUUCUAGAAUUUUAAUUGUUAUAUUAAAUAUUUAUUGAAUUAUUUAAAUAUUUAAUGGAUGUGUUUAUUGUUGAAUAAAUAAUUGUUCAAAUUUGAAUUGAUGUGGUUAAUUAUUUGUUAAAUAAAUAAUUAAGGAAAAUUAAUUAUUUUGCUAAUUUAAUUUAAUUAUUAAGUUAGAGAAUUUUGAUUAAUUGAAUUACUAUUCUUUUUAUUGGAAUUUGUAAAUUUAAAAGGAUGUGUUAGUUGAUUAAAUAAAGUUAUAAUUAUAUAGAAAAUUAUAAUUUUGUGGUAUUGAUUUAUGUGAUGAAGUGAUUUAAUAAAUUGUUAUUAUGAUUAAUUUAAUUAAAUUAAUGUGUGACAAAUAACCUUGUUAUAAAGGAGUUACUAAAAUAACUUAAAGGAGUUUUAAUUCAGUUUUGCCAAACAAGGCCUAAGGCCUAUUAAGUCUUUAAUUUAUUUGAGUUUUACCAAACAAGGUGUUAGGAUUAAUGGGUUAUUUUGUUAGUGGUUAACCAAACAAGCCUUAUGGCUUUUGAUUUUAAAAUUCACAUAACUGAUAUCAGUUAUGUUUAUAAUUAUAUUAUAUAAUUAAUAUAUAUAAUAUCUAUAUACGUUAUUUGGUUAAGACGUAUGUUAGAGGAGAGAGGUUAGAGAGAAGAAAGAAAACUCAGAGAAGAAGAAGAGAAGAAGAAGAGAAGAGAGGAAGAAAGGCUAGAGAGUGGGAAGAAGGAGCUUGAGAAUAGAAAGGAUAGUCAUCAUCUUCUUCAAGGUAUUACCCUAUUCUUUUUAAGUUUUAAAAGUUUUAGUUUCUCUUCUCCUAUUUCUCUGUAAAAUUCUUGUGAUAGGAUAAUUAUUGAUUUUAUGUGUGUUCAUAUGAUAAACUAGUGUUGUAAAGUUAUUUUCAUAGGUUAUAUAUGAUUAUAAUCAAUGUAUUGUUGUUAUGUAUGAAGUUUGUGAAGAAAACCUUUUUACAGAGAGUUUUUGGUGAUUAUAUAUUGUUUAGUUAAAAUAGAAAUUGAGGGUUAAUUAGUUGUUUAGUUGAUAAAUUGACCAUUUAAUUUGAUAGAGCAUGUAUAAUUGUUGAUAAAAAUACUUUGAAUUAGUGGUUUUGGUUGAAAAACAAAAGUUACAGUGUUGAUUUUUAUUGAAAUAUAAAAAAAUGAGUUUUAGCCAAAAAUAGUUAAUUUGGGUGUGUUAAUUUUGUUGUUUAUGUUGUUGUAUGGGUAGAAUCAUGUUUAGAGUUUUUGAAAUAUGUUUACAUGAAGUCUCUAUAUGAUUUAUGUGCUAAUUAGUCUGUUAGAAAUGAGCUUGUAGGCUAAAAUUGGCUUUUUCUUGUAGGCGCGGACUUACAGUACCUUUGUGGCACCGCAGCGCCAUGCUCACGCCGCAGCACGGCCUUGUAGCCUUGAUCUCUGCGCCGCAGCGCCAUGCCCACGUUGCAGCGCGACCCAUAGUGUAAACUGUGGCGCUGCGGCGCGAGUUAGCAGAAUGACAGUGUACUUUUGGUAUACGAAAUUUUAAGAAAAGUUAUGUGAUGAUAGUAGGACUGCUAAAUAUUGAUUUUAGUAUAUCUAUACUAUGAAUAAGUAUGUUAUUAACAAUUAACUUGUGUUAUAACUCGAUUAUGUGAUUAAAAAUCCAAUUUUAAAUGAUGAACGUACUUAGUUAUGUUUGUAAGAUGGUAAUGACUAAUUAUGUCAUGAUGACAUAUGUUUAUAGGAUAUUGUGAUUCGUAUUGAUUUGGUUUAGCCUACGAGCAAGGCAAGUUCUCUAACUCUACUUUUAAAAUUGUGCAAGCGCUUAAAUUGUUCUUUGAGCAAGUGUUCUAAUCCAUUAUCUUGAUUGAAUCAAUUAUUGUUUCCAAUAUAAUAAUGCAAGUUUUCUAAUUCUUUAUCUUGUUGAACUAUUUAUUGUUUCAAUUCGAUUACCUUAUGAAUGAUGCAAGCUUUCUAAACUUUGGUUUAAUGUUGACAAGUUAUUCUUGUAUUUAACUUGUUGUUUAGCAUGCACAACUAUUUAUACUAAUGUUGAGCAAUUUCAUCGUUCAAACUGUUAUGCAUGCUUAGUACUCAAUUCUAAUUAACCUUGACUUAAUAUUGUUCAAGCAAGGCAUGUUAUAGUUAUUCAAAGUAUAUGCUAUUAGAUUAUUCCUAAAGCAUGAUUUUGGUUUACCAUGUUGAUUCAAUUACAAUUAUUCUGUAAUAUAAUGUUAUUAUUUCAACUAGUCCCUUAGUUGAUGUUCGUUGAAUUCCAAAUUACUUUGAAAGCUUAUCCAAACCAAACUUCCUUCGGUGCGGACUUGUACUCUAAAUACUGAGAUGAAUAACCCUAAUGUUAUGAUUAGGGGUUAACUUACGCGUAGCGUUAAAUGUUUGUGCACAAUACAUGGUACGAAGGGCUGAUCCCCCCAAGUACGAGGAGUCCUUAUAGUCUUAUGACUGUUAAAGUUGGAGUUGAAAGAUUACUCGCAACUGUGGACAUAGUUCAUGGUCUUAUGACCCUCAGAUUACUCGCACGUUUUGGGGCUCAAAAUAUUACAGUACAAUACCUCCAACUUUUCUUUCAUUUUUAAUUUAGUCCUGCAAGUAUUAUCAAACUUGCACCACCUCCCCAAAUAGUAAAUAAUGUGAAUCAAUAGUUCAAUCAUGUAAAUCAAUAGUUAUAAUCAUGUGAAAAUACGAAUUACAGUAUAAUACCUCCAUCUAGACGUCCAUUUUUAACUUAGUCAUGCAAGUAUUAUCAAUAUUGCACCAACUCCCCUAAUAGUACAUGAAUGUGAUUCAAUAGUACAAACAUAUGAACAAAUAGUUAUAUAAGCAUGUGAAUUAUUAGCAAUUAAUUGCUCAUUUAUCCGAUUAAUUACCCGAUUUAUCAAUAUAAUCCCCAGACAUCAAUUAUCAUCAGAAUAGAUGUCGAUUUCCACAAACACUAAUAAUCCUAACACAAUGGAACUAUCAAAUUCAUCUUUAAUCAACACGAACUUAUUCAUCAUUAAUAUUAUAACUCACAAUAUUUAACAACCAGGUCGUUCCCAGGAAAGAGGGGGCUUUCCAAUAAGGAUUUCUCCUUAUUGGCGUGCAAUUAGAUGACCAAACAUCUCCUUGACAGAACUUCUAGGCAUUAUAAAUAUUACAAUUUAAAUAACUUUGUCGUCUCAAUUAUUGAUUUAAUAAUAUAUCAUAUAAUGCAGAUGAUACUGUGACAAUAAUCGAAUCAAUAAUAUGAGAGAUAUAAUGCAACAAUUACUGUAGCAAUAAUUGAGUAUAACUGAGUGACUUCUCACGUAAACAUCAAUAAUCAAUACCGUGUGCUACUAUGCUACCACGCGUAUUACUGAACUUUUACUACCGGGUAGUUCAACAGUUUUAACGGUAACACUUUCGCCAUUAUUUUUAUAAAAAGAUAAUUCUGUCGUUUUUUUAUUACAACAAUACUUCAGUUGUGGGGUCCACCAAUGAUUGUGCCGUCGUACUAAUAUUUUCUGUUAAAAUGAAUAUUCCCCGACCAAUCAAAUAUUAUAUAACCACUUGCUUACUUUGCAAAAUUUGUAAAUAUUAUCCACAACUAUUAUAUUAUAUCCACACCAUAAUAUUCAAAAAUAUAUUUCGAGAGAAAUUAAUCUUUAUUCAUAAAAGUUGGGGUCUUACAAAAACUCCAAAGAAAUCCAAGCAAUACCCACAAUCCUUAGCCCCACUACUGAAUCACCACUACUGUUGCCGCAAAACCUUAGCCCCAAAUUCUCCAAUCCUGCCUUAAUUUCCCACCUGAACCACCAUUAUUGGCGCAAUCUUCAAUCAAACAAAACCCAAUCUGAAAACCCCAAAAAAAUCAUCAAUCAAACUUUUGCUCUUAUUUUGUUGAAUUUUAGAGAGAGAAAAUAGAAAAGAACUCUAGAUCUUGCCCAGAUCUAAAAGGACGUAGGUGUGGUGGUGAAAAAAAACGUGCAAUGAAAGUGGCGGUAAAUGAAUGAUCGAGAUGAUGGCAUGUAUAGAAAAGAAUUAAAUAAAUUUAAUCUUCUAUCAGUCAAAUUUGUCCAAAUUUUUGAACCCACUAUCUUUAACUUCAAUUGAACUAAAGUGGAAAAAAAAUUAAAAGAUUAAUCACCAAAGUAGAAAAAAAGUCAAUAGUUCAGGGUAGUAAUUUAUAUUUAUGCCUAAUUUUUAAUUACACGUAGGUAUUAAUUAACAUAGUCAGCGGGGCCACGUCAUCAAUUUAUGAUGUGGUAGGUUCAAUUGAACGAAAGUAAAAAAAUUGAUAAUUUAAUAACUUGAUUGAAAAAAAUUGAAAGAUUGAUCACUGAAAUGAAAAAAACUUAAUAGUUUAGGAUAAUUAGUUUAGAACCAUAAAUUGCUUUUCCUUUUAAAAGAUAAAAUAAAGAAUUCACAAAGAGUAGGUGUCUGUGUGUAGACUUGACAAAAUAUGGUUAUGAGUUGGUUUUGAUUUAUAAAAUAUGGUUAUAGGUUGGUUUUAGUUUACAAACUAUAUUAUCUAUUUUUAAUAUGGGUUGUGUGGGUUGAAAAUAAAUAGUAAUAGGUCCAAUCUGGUCAACUCAUUUUUAGGAGUGAGGGAAACACAUGGGGCUAAACGUUGAAGGCUUUUUUUAGGAGAUAGGCUGCAAGUUUUAUAACUCAAGUAGUAAGUUGGGUUUGAACUUGGAGUUGUGCUACAAUGAGGUAGGGGUGCUCAUCGGUAAAAAGUCAAACCGGUACCGAAAAUACCAAACUGGUACCGAUCUGAAAUUACCGGAAAAUCAAGAACCGAAAUCGGUACUGAAUUAUCGGUUUCGGUACCGGUUCGGUAUAAAAUCGGUACCGGUUUUUUUGGUUUGAUUUUUGGUUAUACCGCAUGGUAAUAUAUAUAAUUAUUAAUAAUAAUUAUAUGAUUUUCUUUUAUAUAUUAAUAAUUUUUUUAAAACUAAGAAAUCAUUAACUAUUAAUAAUAAUUAAUAUAUAAAAUAAAACCACAAAACAUUAUUAAUAUAUAUAAAAAAAUUAAUAAAAAGUAUUAAUUUUAUUAAUAAAAUUAAUAAAAUUGAGCCAGAUUGAACAGACUCAUUAUCUCGCUCUAAUAAUUGAGCCCUUCUCACAACGUCUGAAUAUAGAGAAAAUUUGUGAGAAAUGAGGUAUUGCCGAAUUUUGGGUUUCAAACCUCUAAGAAACAUUCACGUUAUACGUUCCUCAUUCUCUACCAAAUGAGGUGCAAACCUGGAUAACUCCGCGAACUUAUCCUCGUACUAGGACACAGUCAUGUUGUUCUAUUCCAGUCCGAUAAACUCUACCUCCUUCAUAUGACGAAUACUUUCAGGAAAAUACUUGUUAUUGAACAGUUUCUGGAAUGCUUCGCAAGAUAUAUUGAGUGUGGUAGGCUGGGUACACUUCAUAGAUUUCCACCAGUAAUCUGCCUCACCACGGAACAUAAAGGUGGCGAAUGGAACCUUAUGUUCCUCCGUGCUUCCCAAGACAUCAAAUAUCUUGGUAAUUUGCUUAACCCACGUUUCCGCCUUGAUCGGAUCUGGUUUUCCCAAAAACUCCAGCGGUCCCAACUCCUUGAAUUUCUUAGCAAUGACCAGCCGUGAGUUACCAUCGUUUCCACCUGUAUUUUGGACAGGAGUAUCUCUCUCUCGUCUGGUUUUGUAUGAACUGCAAAAAGCUUCUAAACAUCCCAUCAUUCAUCGUUUGAUCGAUGGUGUUGUUUACAGGAGGAAUAUUGCCUUCCUGCUGCUCAUUAUCCUGGUUAUUGAUUGUCAGUGUCUCAUUGGUCGCAUAUGCUCCAUUGCUCAUCUCAACAUUUUCAGAUGUCAUUCUCAAAUACUUCCACAAAACAAGAGUUAAUUAAAUAAAUUUACAUGUCACAUAAUACCCCUAUAUUCUGACCGACCAAUAAAUAAGUUUAGGUAGGACACACUAGCGAAAGAUUUACUCGUCUCUCCCCUCCUAGUUCUAUUCCCCGAUCUCCGCCAAAAACCAUAUCACUAAGCUCUAAUACCAACUUUGAUGCCCCUAAAAUAGGUUCACACAACCCAUUCUGAGUCGCCAAAUACAUGGUACAAAAACAACAACAACUUUAUUAUUACAAUUGUCGUGCAAAAUACAACAACACAUAUAUUGUGAGUUUUAAUACCAACUGUGACUCAUGUCCCAACUAUGGACANNNNNNNNNNNNNNNNNNNNNNNNNNNNNNNNNNNNNNNNNNNNNNNNNNNNNNNNNNNNNNNNNNNNNNNNNNNNNNNNNNNNNNNNNNNNNNNNNNNNNNNNNNNNNNNNNNNNNNNNNNNNNNNNNNNNNNNNNNNNNNNNNNNNNNNNNNNNNNNNNNNNNNNNNNNNNNNNNNNNNNNNNNNNNNNNNNNNNNNNNNNNNNNNNNNNNNNNNNNNNNNNNNNNNNNNNNNNNNNNNNNNNNNNNNNNNNNNNNNNNNNNNNNNNNNNNNNNNNNNNNNNNNNNNNNNNNNNNNNNNNNNNNNNNNNNNNNNNNNNNNNNNNNNNNNNNNNNNNNNNNNNNNNNNNNNNNNCUCCCUAAAAAAAUAAUAUUCAUUGAUUAUAUAUACCCAUUCCACCCCCCACUACCACCACCACUGUGACGCCCCCAAAAUAGCUACACACAACCCAUUCUGAGUCGCCAAAUAAAUGGUACAGAAUUCAAAUACAAAUUUUAUUAAUACAACUAUUAAUUAUUGUGUAAAAUACGACAAAACAUACGCUGUGAGUUUUAAUACAAAUAUUGUCUCGUAGACAAUUUCUAAACUCAAAUAAAAUCUUUAUUAAAAUUAUUGUCACACUAUUUUACAAAAUAGUGAUGAUUACUAAAAUAACCAACUUGAACCAUUACUCAACUCCCCGACUAGUCCCAGCUACAUUCUUACCUCCUGAGAAGAUCAAUGGAACCAAAUGGAAAAUGGUGAGCUUAACUAGCCCAGUAAAGAAUAUUAUAACUAAGAUAAUGUAGAACAAAUUAUCAUUAAUCCUCAAUAGGAAAAAAUCUAAUAGAAUACAAUAGACAACAAGUUUUAGAUUAACAACUGCAGCGAAAAUAACAAUCCAUUAGAAGAGUCAAGUAGAGCAUGAUGUCUACUAUUUUCUAUGAUUUAAAAAUCCAUCAUCAAUAUUUUAUUCAUGUAACACCAAUCAAUAAAUAUUUCAAAUCAACGAAUUAUCCAUGCACUACAAGCCAAGGAUAUUCGUAUGUAUCACCAAUGGUCAUAAUCAUGCCAAAUAAUUAUCCAUCUAAGCACUACGGGCCAAAGAGGACUUUCACCACAACAUUUAUCUGUAACAUUACAGGUCAUGAUUAUACCAAUACACAAUUCCUGGUCAUAAUCAUACCAAUCAACGGUCCAUCUAUGCACUAUGGGCCAAAGAUUACUUUUACCACAACAUAAGCAUGAGAAUGAUGACAAUGAUAUAAGAAAUCAAUCAAGUGAGAUCAAAGAUAAAUAUUAGAUAUUUAUAAUUCAAUUUAUCCAGAGUUCAAGAAUGUUCAAAUUGUCAACAUGAUAAUUAAUUGUGGAGUAAAAUUCAAUAAUGAUAUUCAUGUAUCAAAAAUAAUUUGGACAGAAAAGAAACCAAUUUUGUCGUGAAUAGUAUUCCAUGAAUAGUACCCAAGUGAAUAGCACCAUAUGAAUAGUACUCUGAGUAAAUAGUACCUCGAAUGAAAAUAAUGAAAUUUAAUAAGAAAGUUCAGACCAAUAUUCCAAUGAAACGAUACUAGAUGAAGCGCAAAACUCAAGGAUAUUCUACUAAUUUUAGGGAUUAUAGAAGCAAUACUUACCAUAGUAAGUUUAGAUUUAGGAAUAUGAAAAGAAAUAAUAUACGAAACUGCAAAUGGAUUUUCACCCGUCAUUCGGUAAUCCGCGUAGACAGAUCUUUUCCACAAAUAAAGAAUGAGUACGAAGGGUUAUUCACCAUACAUGUGGUAAUCCACGUAGACAGGUUAUUCCCACAGAUUAAAGAAUGAAUACGAAGGGUUAUUCACCAUGCAUGUGGUUAUUCGCUUAGAAGGGUUACUCCUGCAGAUUAAUAAAAAAUGAAUACGAAGGGUUAUUCACCAUCCAUGCGGUAAUCCGCAUAGACAUGUUACUCCCGCCGAUUAAUAAAGAAUGAAUACGACAAAUAAUAUCCCUUAUCUUAGUAGGAGAUUGAAUACUGCAGUAGUGAAGUAGCAAAAUGCUCUUCUUUCUCUCUAUAGUUUUAGUGAAUUCGUAAGAAAGAAUGAAGAAAUGAGCUUCUAUUUAUAGGAGAAUGGACUAAAUAGUAUCUGAUUCACAGAUGGUCCAGAUUGAUUUACUAUUAAAACGGACGGUCCAUAUUGAUUUACUAUUAAAACCUCAACCGACGGUCCAUAUUAAUUUACUAUUAAAAUCUCAACCGACGGUCUGAAAAAUUAGCACAUCUCCCCACAGAAUAAUAAGCCAAAUCUACAACAAACACCUCAUGGCAAACCCCUUUAUUUAUAUAAAAAAUUAAAUAAAUUUUUACCACAGUUCACUUAUCUUCAAUAAACACAUUUUUAAUCUUUCAAUAAUUAUUCAUCAUUAAUAUUAUAACUCACAAUAUUGACAAUCAUAUCGUUCCCAGGAAAGAGGGGGCUUUCCGAUAAGAAUUUUUCCUUAUUAUUGCCCAAUUAAAUAACCUAACUCAUUUCCUCGACAGAACUUUCUAAACAUUGUCAAUAAUGUAAAUAAUAAUAUGAAUAACUGUGUCGUCUCAAUUAUUGAUUUAAUAAUAUAAAAUAUUGUGCAGAUGAUAUUGUGACAAUAAUUGAAUCAAUAGUAUGAGAUACUAUGUAGCGACUAUUGUAGCAAUUAUUGAAUGAAAUUGAGUGACUUCUUUCAUAAACAUCAAUAAUCUGAGAUACUGUGUGCUACUGUGCGACAACGCAUAUUACUGUUCUUUUAGCAUCAGUAUUUCAAUAGUUAACGGUAAAAGUUUUGCUGUUAUUUUUAUAAAAAAGUUAUUUUUGUCGCUUUCUAUAUCCGACAGUCAUUCUGUUUAUGGGGUCCACCAAUGAUUGUGCCGUUGUACGGAUAUUCCCCGAUAAAAAGAAUAUUCCCCGACAAAACGAAUAUUUUAUGACAACUUGCUUACUUUGUAAAAUUUGCACAUAUCACCCAUAACUAUAACAUUAUAUUAAAUCAACACCUUACUAUUCAAAAUAAUAUUUAGAGAAAAUUAAAUCUUUAUUCAUAAAAAGUUGGGGUCUUACAACCUCCCCUUCUUAUAAAAUUUUGUUCUCAAAAUUGAUGUACGUACCUGGUAUAUCGAAGAGGUGAGGAUACCUUGUUUUCAUUUCAGAUUCUAACUCCUAGGUCAUUUUCUCAAUAUCAUGAUUUCUCCAUAAAACUUUGACUUGAGGUAUAACCUUUGAGCGUAGAAUAUCUCCUUUUUAUCCAAGAUCUUGAUAGUUAACUCCUUAUACGUUAAAUCUUCGGCUAUCUCAUCUGGUUCUAAUUCAAUAAUGUGGUUUGGGUCUUCUACAUAUUUACGUAGCAUAGAUAUAUGAAAAAUAUUAUGAACACGAGACAUAAUUGGCGAUAAAGCGAGUCUAUAGGCCACAAUUCCUACUCGAUCGAGGAUUUUAAAUGGACCAAUAAAUUGAGGGUUGAGAUUUCCUCUCUUCUUCGAUUCUUGCUUCUGAAAUAACACCUUCAUGCACCUUCUUCUUCAUAUUCAUCACCUCUGGGUCUAUAGCUUGAGCAGUUUUAACUUUAUCGAUUAAAGUCGGUUCUACUCGUAUAUUUGUCAUUUUCAUGUCGAUCCUUAAAGUCUUUAACUCUAUCUCCAUCCUUUGUAAGUCAUACAAAAUGGGCCUUUAUGUUGACAAUAUCGCACUGGUAGCCGCAUACGAUCUUCUACUCAACGCGUCAAUUACCACGGUCUCUUUUCCAAGAUAGUAUUGAAUGGUAUGGUCGUAAUCUUUCAACAGCUCGAGCCAACGUCUUAAGCGCAUGUUAAGUUCCUUUUUAGUGAAGAAAUAUUUUAGGCUCUUAUGGUCUGUGUAGAUCUCCACUUUCUUCCCAUACAGGUAAUGUCUCCAGAUCUUUAGCGCAAAAACAACUACUGCCAACUCUAGAUCAUGAGUAGGAUAAUUCCUCUCAUAUUCUUUGAGUUGUCGAGAGGCAUAGGCUAUGACUUUCCCAUGUUGUAUGAGAACACAUCCUAAACCUUUGCCUCAAGUAUCGCUAUAGAUGAUAAAUCCCUCUGAACUUGAUGGUAUUGUCAGAACAGGUGUUGAAAUGUGUCUCCUCUUGAGUUCUUGGAAACUCUUCUCACACUCCUCGUUCCAAAUGAAUUUUGUAUCUUUUCGAGUCAGCUGUGUUAAUGGAGUAGCGAUUCGAGAAAAUCCUUCCACGAAUCUCCAAUAAUAACCAGCUAAGCCUAGAAAGCUACUUAUUUUGGUUACUGACUUAGGUUGCUCCCAACUGUGACUCAUAUCCCAACCUUGGAUAGCCCCUCACAAUUGUACCUAUCAGUUUGCCACCGCAAAAAAUAGGGCGUCCCCUACGGAGUGUGGUUCUGGUGCAUUCCACAAAGGAAGUCACCAGAUAGAGGCUCAGGUACCAAUUCCUGUAGUUACGUUUUUAACUCCUGAAGUUCAAUAAGAGUUAUUCGAUAUGAGGUUUUGGAAAUGGGUUUUGUAUCGGGUUCAAGGUCAAUACAAAAUUCAAUUUCAUGAUUUGGGGUAGGCCAGAAAGUUCUUCAAAAAAAAUGUCAAGAAAUUUAUUAACAAUAGAAAUAUCAUUCAAAUAUGAGGUUUUUUUGUUUAAAUUGGUGACAUGGGCUAAGAAAGCUUGACAUCCUUUUUUUAAUAAACGAAUGGCUUUAUGACUUGAUAUGACAGUGAUCGACUUUAGUGGUUUGGUUGCUUGAAUUCGCAUAACAGGUUGGUUAGAAAUAUAAAAGCUAAUGACAUUAUGAAAAUAAUAAAUUUUAGCAUGAUGAGUAGUUAACUAAUCAAUCCCUAAAAUCACAUCAAAUGCAAGUAUUUUUAAAAAGAUGAGAUCAAUAGGUAAUGUAAGGGUAUCGAUUUGAAUCAAACAAGAUUUAUAAUUGGUGGAUGUAACAAAGGUUUCUCCCAACAGAGUUUUAACCGAUAAGUCAAAGUCUACUUUCUCCGGAGUUAAGUUUAAAUGUUGAGCACAAGCAUGUGAAAUAAAAGAAUGGGUAGAACCAGUAUCGAAUAAGGUAUAGACUUCGCAAGAGUUUAUGAUUAACUUACCCAUGAUAACUUCGUUCGGGUUCUUUAUUUUUUGGGAAGUCACGUAAAACGCUCUCCCUUGAACCGCCGACUUUGGCUUGUUUGGGACAGCCUUUGGUGUCACUGUCCUCGCUAGACUUGACUUCGUUGUAUGACAAAAUUGAGCUAAAUGACCUUCCUUUCUAUAAUUGAAACACACUUUGAGUUGCUGCGUACAGUUUGGACUGAUGUGUCCCUCAUGUCCACAUUUGUAGCAUACGACCGGUGGUCGUUCUCCUUCCUUAAAAAUGGGUGUUGGUGCUGCUGUCGAUGUCUUUCCAUCAUUGUUGAAUCUUCUCUUCUUAAAUUUGUUCACACUUAGUUCACCUCUCCUAUUAUCUUGGCCAUGAUUACCACCGAAGUGGUUACAAUUUCUGGCAUGAUAAUUUCCUACACGAUGGUUAUCAUUGUUUCGAUGGCCGUUGCCACUGGUACGAUUAUUAUCGUGUUGUUGGUCGUUAUCUUUUGGUUGAGUUGACUCAAUAUUGCGCUCCAAUAACUGAGCCCUAUUCACAACAUCUGAAUACAAACAAAGUUUGUGAGAAAUGAGGUAUUGACGAAUUUCAUAUUUCAAACCUCUCCGAAACAUUCAUGUCAUUCGCUCCUCAUUAUCCACCAAAUGGGAUAUAAACUGGGAUAACUCCACAAACUUGGCCUCGUAUUGCGAUACAGUCAUAUUGUUUUGUUCCAGUUUGAUGAAUUCCACCUCCUUCAUGUGACGAUUACUUUCUGAAAAGUACUUAUUGUUGAACAAUUCUUGGAACUUCUCCCAAUACAUCUUAAGUGCGGAAAGAUGAGUGUGUUUUACAGAUUCCCACCAAUAAUUUGUCUCUUCAUGCAAUAUAAAGGUGGCGAAGGGAACCUUUUGCUCCUCUGUGCAUCCCAAGACAUCAAAUAUCUUGGUGAUCUGCUUAAUUCAUGCUUUUGCCUUAAGUGGCUCUGGCUUUCCCAAAAACUCCGGCGGUCCCAACUCCUUGAAUUGCUUAGUAGUGACCAGCCGUAAGUUGCCAUUGUUUCCACCUGCAUUAUGAACAGGAGUCUCUCUCGUUUGGUGUUGCAUGAAUUGUAGAAAGCUCUUAAACAUCCCAUCAUUCAUCAUUUGGUCGGUGUUGUUGUUUAUAUAAGGAUUAUUGCCUUCCUGAUGCACAUUAUCCUGGUUAUUAAUUGGCGGUGUCUCAACGGUCUCAUGUCCUCCAUUGCUUAUCUCAAAAAAUUCAGAUGUCAUUCUUAAACACUGCCACAAAAUAAGGGUUAAUUGACAUGCCACAUAUUAUUCCUAUAUUAUGACCGACCAAUUAAAUAAAAAAUAAGCUUAGGUAUGACACACUAGUGAAGGAUUUACUCGUCUUUCCCCUCCUAGUUCUAGCCUUAGAUCUCCGCCAGAGAUCAUAUCCUUAAGCUCUGAUACCAACUGUGACUCUCAUCCCAACCUUGGAUGUGACGCCCCCAAAACAGGUAUACAUCACCCAUUCUGAGUCGCAAAAUACAUGGUACAUAAUACAAAUACAAACUUAAAUAUACAACAUAAGCUGUGAGUUUUAAUACAAAUAUUGUCUUCUAGACAAUAUUCAAACUCAAAAUAAGUCCUCAAUACAUUUAUUAUCACACUAUUUCACAGAAUAAUGAGGACUACUAAUGCAACCAUCUAGACCGUCAUUUCAUUCCCCGACUAGUCCCAGCUAUAUUCUCACUUCCUGAAGAGAACAUUGAAAGAAAGGUUGAGCUCAACUAGCCCAGUAAGAAAUAUUAUGACUAAGAUAAUGUAGAAUAAAUUAUCGUUAGCCUUCAACAGUAUAACAAUUGAUAGAAUAUAAUAGACAACAAGUUUUAGAUCAACAACUGUAGCGGAAUAAACAAUCCAUUAGAAGAGUCAAGUAGAGCAUAAAAUCUACUAUCUUCUAUGAUUUAAAAGAUUUAUCAUCAAUUUUAUCGCUGAGACUCAGCUUAAUAAAUAAUCCACAUCAUCGAAUCAUCCCUGCACUACGGGCCAAGGAUAUUCUUUAGUAUCAUGACCACGAAUUAUCCUUACACUACGAGCCAAAGAUAAUCGUGUUUUCAUCAACGGUUAUAAUCAUGCCAUAAAACAAUUCAUCUUUGCACCCUUGGUCGAAGAGAAUCCAUGACCAUAAUCAUACCAAAAAUUGUCCAUCAAUGCACUACGGGCCAUUGAGGACUUUUAUCAUAUCAUUUGUAACAUUACGGUCAUGAUUAUACCGAUAGAACUUUCUAGACAUUGUCAAUAAUGCAAAUAAUAAUAUGAAUAACUGUGCCGUCUCAAUUAUUGAUUUAAUAAUAUAAAAUAUUAUGCAAUUGAUAUUAUGACAAUAAUUGAAUCAAUAAUAUGAGAUACUAUGACGCCCCCAAAAUAGGUCCACACGACCCAUUCUGAGUCGCCAGAUAUCACACUAUAAAAAUCAAAUACAAACUUCAUUUAUACAACUAUUGAACUGUCAUGUAGAGUACGACAACACAUAAGCUAUGAGUUUUAAUACAAAUAUAUGUAACUCUCAUGGUGCCUCGACCACAACACCUUACAAUGGUACUUUACAUAAAAGUACAGUCAAUAACUGUUUUAAAAAUUAAAAUCUUUGGAAAAUACUCGAGGAAACCUUCGUACAUGGGAGGCCAUGCAUCUAAGUUAUGAUAGAUAUCAUACGACUCGAGAAUUAUCCUUGGUUGACCCAAUAGACCCCAAAGAAAAAUGAGAAGAUUACUGUCAUGUUCUUUCCAAUGGUGAGUCUUCUCUUGACAUAUAAUUAUCUCCAUUGUCUCCAAUUGAGAAUUAUAUCUCAACCAAACUCCAAGAUUAUAUAGGUAGUGCUCAUAGAUAUAAUCAUUAAAUGCAUGUGCACAACCCUGUCAUAUGAUAACACGAAGUCGUUUGUCAUUAGACAUCUUGUAUGAUAGUGGCAAAACACCCUUCCAAAGUUGGGCUCACCUCUCCCUAUUCGGUUCACCAAAAUCAAUGGUUAAAAUGACGUAUAAAAUACUACACACUUAUCUGAAAUUCUCAAUAAAAUUAUUUCCAUACUGUUUUAAGGGAAACCUCAAUAGCUAUAGACCACCGUUCUAAUCCCCUGUUACCCCCGCUCGACCCAGCUACACUCUUAUUACCUAAAAGGAAUUGUGAAGCAAAAAGGGUGAGCACAACUAGCCCAGUAAAGAAUAUCAUGACUAAAGAUAAUUAAAUUAUCAAUAGCCUUCGUCAGUAAUAAAUCAGAGAUUUAGAACAUAUGGUAGAUGAUAAAACUUUUCAACCAUAGUUNNNNNNNNNNNNNNNNNNNNNNNNNNNNNNNNNNNNNNNNNNNNNNNNNNNNNNNNNNNNNNNNNNNNNNNNNNNNNNNNNNNNNNNNNNNNNNNNNNNNNNNNNNNNNNNNNNNNNNNNNNNNNNNNNNNNNNNNNNNNNNNNNNNNNNNNNNNNNNNNNNNNNNNNNNNNNNNNNNNNNNNNNNNNNNNNNNNNNNNNNNNNNNNNNNNNNNNNNNNNNNNNNNNNNNNNNNNNNNNNNNNNNNNNNNNNNNNNNNNNNNNNNNNNNNNNNNNNNNNNNNNNNNNNNNNNNNNNNNNNNNNNNNNNNNNNNNNNNNNNNNNNNNNNNNNNNNNNNNNNNNNNNNNNNNNNNNNNNNNNNNNNNNNNNNNNNNNNNNNNNNNNNNNNNNNNNNNNNNNNNNNNNNNNNNNNNNNNNNNNNNNNNNNNNNNNNNNNNNNNNNNNNNNNNNNNNNNNNNNNNNNNNNNNNNNNNNNNNNNNNNNNNNNNNNNNNNNNNNNNNNNNNNNNNNNNNNNNNNNNNNNNNNNNNNNNNNNNNNNNNNNNNNNNNNNNNNNNNNNNNNNNNNNNNNNNNNNNNNNNNNNNNNNNNNNNNNNNNNNNNNNNNNNNNNNNNNNNNNNNNNNNNNNNNNNNNNNNNNNNNNNNNNNNNNNNNNNNNNNNNNNNNNNNNNNNNNNNNNNNNNNNNNNNNNNNNNNNNNNNNNNNNNNNNNNNNNNNNNNNNNNNNNNNNNNNNNNNNNNNNNNNNNNNNNNNNNNNNNNNNNNNNNNNNNNNNNNNNNNNNNNNNNNNNNNNNNNNNNNNNNNNNNNNNNNNNNNNNNNNNNNNNNNNNNNNNNNNNNNNNNNNNNNNNNNNNNNNNNNNNNNNNNNNNNNNNNNNNNNNNNNNNNNNNNNNNNNNNNNNNNNNNNNNNNNNNNNNNNNNNNNNNNNNNNNNNNNNNNNNNNNNNNNNNNNNNNNNNNNNNNNNNNNNNNNNNNNNNNNNNNNNNNNNNNNNNNNNNNNNNNNNNNNNNNNNNNNNNNNNNNNNNNNNNNNNNNNNNNNNNNNNNNNNNNNNNNNNNNNNNNNNNNNNNNNNNNNNNNNNNNNNNNNNNNNNNNNNNNNNNNNNNNNNNNNNNNNNNNNNNNNNNNNNNNNNNNNNNNNNNNNNNNNNNNNNNNNNNNNNNNNNNNNNNNNNNNNNNNNNNNNNNNNNNNNNNNNNNNNNNNNNNNNNNNNNNNNNNNNNNNNNNNNNNNNNNNNNNNNNNNNNNNNNNNNNNNNNNNNNNNNNNNNNNNNNNNNNNNNNNNNNNNNNNNNNNNNNNNNNNNNNNNNNNNNNNNNNNNNNNNNNNNNNNNNNNNNNNNNNNNNNNNNNNNNNNNNNNNNNNNNNNNNNNNNNNNNNNNNNNNNNNNNNNNNNNNNNNNNNNNNNNNNNNNNNNNNNNNNNNNNNNNNNNNNNNNNNNNNNNNNNNNNNNNNNNNNNNNNNNNNNNNNNNNNNNNNNNNNNNNNNNNNNNNNNNNNNNNNNNNNNNNNNNNNNNNNNNNNNNNNNNNNNNNNNNNNNNNNNNNNNNNNNNNNNNNNNNNNNNNNNNNNNNNNNNNNNNNNNNNNNNNNNNNNNNNNNNNNNNNNNNNNNNNNNNNNNNNNNNNNNNNNNNNNNNNNNNNNNNNNNNNNNNNNNNNNNNNNNNNNNNNNNNNNNNNNNNNNNNNNNNNNNNNNNNNNNNNNNNNNNNNNNNNNNNNNNNNNNNNNNNNNNNNNNNNNNNNNNAGUCCAUUCUUCUAUAAAUAGAAGCUCAUUCCUUCAUUAUUUCUUACGAAUUCACUGAAACUCUAGAGAGAGAAACUAUAGAGAGAAAGAAGAAAAGUAUUCUGCUAACACUACUCCGAUAUCCAGUACUCUUCUUUCAAAGGUAAGGAAUAUUAUUUGUUGUACCCGUAAGGGGUAUUAUUUCUUUUGUAUUCAUGAAGAGAACUUCUGUUAUUACAUUCUUUAUUAUUCUGUUAGAAUAACCUGUAUACGCGGGCUACCCUGUACUUGGUGAAAUUGUUCUGUUAUUCCAUUCUUUAUUAUUCUGUUGGAAUAUCCUGUCUGUGCAUUUUACGCCGGACCUGGUUUCGUAUUUAUUAUUCUAUUGGAAUAUCCUGCCUGUGUGUUUUACGCAGGACCUGGUUCUGUUAUUUAUUAUUCUGUUAGAAUAACCUGUCUAUGCGAAGUACCGCAUGCAUGGUGAUUUCUGUUGUUAUUCCAUUCUUUAUUAUUCUGUUGGAACAUCCUGUCGGUGCGAAUUUCGCCUGACCUAGUUCCGUUAUUUAUUAUUCUGUUGGAAUAACCUGUCUAUACGACGUACCGCAUGCAUGGUGAUUUCUGUUGUUAUUCCAUUCUUUGUUAUUCUGUGGAAUAUCCUUGAUAUUUGCGCUUCAUCCAAUAUCUUUUCAUGAAAAUAUUCUUUUGAGCAUUCUUGAAUUUUACUCUACAAAGAAGUAUCAUGUUGACAAUUUGGACGUUAUUAGUUCCUGGAUAAUUUAAUUCUUGAACUUGUUUUAUUGAAUUCUUAUAUCAUUGUCAUCAUCCUCAUGUUAUAUUUUGUUGAAAGUCAUCUAUGGCCUAUAGUGCAUAGAUGGACUUGGUAUGAUUAUGACCAAGGAUUAUUCGGUAUAAUCAUGACCGUUAUGUUACAAAUGAUGUGGAAAAAGUCCUCAUUGGCCCGUAGUUCAUUGAUGGACAGUUUUUGGUAUGAUUAUGGCUCUGGAUUCUCUUUGGCCAAGGGAGCAAAGAUGAAUUGUUUUAUGGCAUGAUUAGGACCGUUGAUGAAAACACAAUUAUCUUUGGCCCGUAGUGCAUGGAUAAUUCGUGGUCGUGAUACUAAAUAAUAUCCUUGGCCUGUAGUGUAGGGAUGAAUUGAUGAUAUGGAUUAUUUAUUAAGCUGAGUCCCAGCGAUAAAAGUGAUGAAAAACUUUUUAAAUCAUAAAAGAUAGUAGAUUUUACCCUCUACUUGACUCUUUUAAUGGAUUGCUUGUUCCGCUGUAGUUAAACUUGAUGUCUAUUAUAUUUUAUCAGUUUAACAUUGUUGAAGACUAAUGAUAAUUUAUUCUGCAUUAUCUUAGUCAUAAUAUUUCUUACUGGGCUAGUUGAGCUCAACCUUUUUUUCACUGUUCUCUUCAGGAAAUGAGAAUAUAGCUGGGACGAGUCGGAGAACGGAGUGACGGUCCAGAUGAUAGUAUUAGUAGUUCUCACUAUUCUAUUAAAUAAUGUGACAAUAAAUGUAAUGAGGACUUAUUCUGAGAGUGGAUAUUGUCUAGAAGACAAUAUUUGUAUUAAAACUCACAGCUCUCUUGUUGUAUAUUAAAGAUUGUAUUUGUAUUCUGUAACAUGUAUUUGGCGACUCAGAAUAGGUGAUGUAUACUUAUUUUGGGGGCGUCACAAAUAAUACCCCUUACCUCAGAAGAAAAUUGGAUACUGGAGUAGUUAAGUAGCAGACUACUCAUCUUCUAUCUCUCUAUAGCUUCUCUCUCUAUAAUUGCUCUUGUGAGUCUUAGUGAAUUGGUGAGAAUGAAGGAAGAAUGAGCUUCUAUUUAUAGGAAAACAUAGUUUCGAUAAUUGCAUGUUUUGGGGCUCAACAUAUUACAGUAUAAUACCUUCAUCUUUUUCUUCAUUUUUAAUUUAGUCCUGCAAGUAUUAUCAAACUUGCACUACCUCCCUUAAUAGUAUAUCAUGUGAAUCAAUAGUACAAUCAUGUGACUCAAUAGUUCUAUACAUGUGAAAAAACUAAUUACAGUAUAGUACCUUCAUCUAUACCUCCAUUUUUAAUUUAGUCAUGCAAGUAUUAUCAAUCUUGCACCACCACCCCUAAUAGUACAUGCAUGUAAAUCAAUAGUACACACAUGUGAACACAUAGUUAUAAGCAUGCGAAUUAAUAACAAUUAAUUGAUUAUUUAUCCGAUUAAUUACCCGGUUGGUUAAUAUAACUUCUAGACAUCAAUUAUUAUCGAAAUAAAUGUUGAUUUCCACUAACACUAAUAAUCCCAACACAAUGGAACUAUCAAUUUCAUCUUUAAUCAGCACGAACUUAUUCAUCAUUAAUAUUAUAACUCACAAUAUUUAAUAACCAGGUCGUUCCCAGAAAAGAGGGGGGUUUCUGAUAAGGAUUUCUCCUUAUUGACGCGCAAUUAGGUGACCAAACCUCUUCUUGACAGAACUUCUUGACAUUGUCAAUAUUGCAAAUAAUAAUAUGAAUAACUUUGUCGUCUCAAUUAUUGAUUUAAUAAUAUAACAUAUUAUGAAAAUGAUACUGUGACAACAAUUGAAUCAAUAAUAUGAGAGAUAUGAUGCAGCCAUUACUGUAGCAAUAAUUGAGUAUAACUGAGUGACUUCUUACAUAAGCAUCAAUAAUCAAUACCGUGUGCUACUAUGCAACCACGCGUAUUACUGUUCUUUUACCACCGGGUAGUUCAACAGUUUAACGGUAAAACUUUCGCCAUUAUUUUUAUAAAAAGAUAUUUCUGUCGUUUUAUAACUACGAUAAUACUUCCGUUGUGGGGUUCACCAAUGAUUGUGCCGUCGUACGAAUAUUCUCUGUUAAAACGAAUAUUUCCCGACACAACGAAUAUUUUAUAUCAACUUGCUUACUUUGUAAAAUUUUCAAAUAUCACCCUUAACUUUAACCUUUAUCAAUUUAACCAUUUACUAAAUAACAUAAUAAUUAUAAGAAAAUUGAUUACUUCCAUUUCAUAAAAUUCAGGAUGUCACAAUCUCCCCUCCUUAUGAAAUUUUGCCCUCAAAAUUUACAUACCUGGUAGUUUGAAGAGAUGAGAAUACCUUGCUUUCUUUUCGGAUUGUACCUUCCCGGUUAUUUUCUCUGUAUCAUGAUUUUCCCAUUGCUCAUUUCCUGUAUUUCAAAUAUCAUUCUAGAAUACAUCUUCAAAGCAAAGGUUAAUUGACAUAUCACAAAUUGUCAACUUAUAAAGUAAACAAUUUUAGCUUAGGUAAGUCACACACUAGCGAAGUAUAUUACUCGUCUCUCCCCUCCUAGUUCUAGACUCAUAUCUCCGCCAGUGACCAUAUCCCUAAGCUCUGAUACCAUUUGUGACGCCCCCAAAAUAAGUCCACACGACCCAUUCUGAGUCGCCAGAUAUCACACUAUAAAAAUCAAAUACAAACUUCAUUUAUACAACUAUUGAACUAUCGUGCAGAGUACGACAAUACAUAAGCUAUGAGUUUUAAUACAAAUAUAUAUAACUCUCAUGGUGCCUCGAUCACAACACCUUAUAAUGGUACUUUACAUAAAAUUACAGUCAAUAACUAUUAUAGAAAUUAAAAUCUUUGGAAAAAACUCAAGGAAACCUUCGUACAUGGGAGACCAUGUAUCUAAGUUAUGAUAUAUAUCAUACGACUAGAGAAUUAUCCUUGGUUGACCCAAUAGACCCCAUAGAAAAAUGAGAAGAUUACUGUCAUGUUCUUUCCAAUGGUGAGUCUUCUCUUGACAUAUAAUUAUCUACAUUGUCUCCAAUUGAGAAUUAUAUCUCAACCAAACUCCAAGAUUAUAUAGGUAGUGCUCAUAGAUAUAAUCAGCAAGUGCAUGUGCACAACCCUGUCAUAUGAUAACACGAAGUCGUCUGCCAUUAGACAUCUUGUAUGAUAGUGGCAAAAUACCCUUCCAAAGUUGGGUUCACCUCUCUCUAUUCGGUUCACCAAAAUCAAUGCUUAAAAUGACGUAUAAAAUACUAAACACUUAUAUGAAAUUCUCAAUAAAAUUAUUUCUAUACUAUUUUAGGGGAAACCUCAAUAGCUAUAGACCACCGUUCUAAUCCCCUGUUACCCCCGCUCGACCCAGCUACACUCUUAUUACCUAAAAGGAAUUGUGAAGCAAAAAGGGUGAGCACAACUAGCCCAGUAAAGAAUAUCAUGACUAAAGAUAAUUAAAUUAUCAAUAGCCUUCGUCAGUAAUAAAUCAGAGAUUUAGAACAUAUGGUAGAUGAUAAAACUUUUCAACCAUAGUUACAGCGGAACGAGCAAUCCAUUAGAAGAGUCAAAUAGACCAUAAGGUCUAUUAUCUUCUCCACGUUAAAAGUCUACCAACAAUGUUUUAUCCCUGUAACAUCAAUCAACAAUUCAUGUCCACAAUCAUGUGAAUAACUCAUAAUCAUAAUUGUGAUUCUAAAUUCCUCUUCGCACCCAAGACGAAGAUAAUUUUCAUCACCUGUCUUUACCUGAAACAUCAAAAAUCAUGGUUAUACCAAAUUAAAAUUCUUGUUCAUAAUCAUACUAAUAAAUUCAUCUUUGCACUACGGGCCAAAGAUAUUCAUUAACAAAUCAUCUUUGCACUACAGGCCAAAGACAUACAACUGUAUUUUAGAAGAGAGUAGAGCAUGAUAUCUACUAUCUUCUACGAAUUAAAAGUGUAUAAUCAAUAUUUUAUCGCUGAGACUCAGCUUAAUAAAUAAUUCACAUCAUCGAAUCAUCCUUGCACUACGGCCAAGGAUAUUCAUUAGUAUUAUGACCACGAAUUAUCCAUGCACUACGAGCCAAGGAUAUUCGUGUUUUCAUCAAUGGUCAUGAUUAUACCGAAUAAUCCCUGGUUAUAAUCAUACCAACAACUAUCCAUCAAUGCACUACAGGCCAAUGAGGACUUUUACCACAUCAUUUGUAACAUUAUGGGUCAUGAUUAUUCCGAAUGAUCCUUGGUCAUAAUCAUACCAAUCAACAGUUCAUCUAUGCACAUAAGCCAAAGAUACUCAUCAAUCAGUAAUUCAUCUUUGCACGUAAGCGAAAGAUAUACAACUGUAAAACCAAUAAUCAACAGUCCAUCUUUGCACGUAAGCCAAAGAUACUCAUCAAUCAAUAAUUCAUCUUUGCACGUAAGCCAAAAAUAUACAACUAUAAAACCAAUAAUCAACAGUCCAUUUUUACACGUAAACCAAAGAUAUACAACUGUAAAACCAAUAAUAAACAGUCCAUCUUUGCACGUAAGCCAAAUAUAACUUUCAUCAUAAUAUAAGCAUGAGGAUGAUGACAAUGAUAUAAGCAUUAAUCAAACGAAAUCAAGGAUAAAUAUUAAAGACUUUAAAUUUAUCCAGAGUUUAAAAAUAUCCAAAUUGUCAACAUGAUACUGCUUUGUGGAGUAAAAUUCAAGAAUAAUAUUCAUGUAUCAAAAAUAAUUUGGACAGAAAAGAAAUAUAUUUUUCUGGUGAAUAGUACCCCCGUGAAUAGUAUCCUGUGAAUAGUACUUUGAGAAUAGUACCUCGUGAAUAGUACCCCGACAUGAAAAGUACCCCAAAUACUCGAGUGAAUAAUAUUUGGGUGAAUAGUAAUUGGGUGAAUAGUAACUCAUGAAUAGUACUCUGACAUGAAAAGUGCCCCGAAUACCCGAGUGAAUAAUAUUUGAGUGAAUAGUAACUGAGUGAAUAGUAACUCAUGAAUAGUAUUUCGUUAUGAAAUGAUCAAUAAUUAUCAAGAAAGCUCAGAAUAAUAUUUCCAUGAAAAGAUACUGGAUGAAGCGCAAAUAUCAAGGAUAUUCUACUAAUUUUAUGGAGUAUAGAAGCCAAAACUUCAACAAAAUGAGUAUAGAAUUCAAAAUCUGAAAUGAAAUAAUAUUACUUACAUACUACAGAGUAUGGAAGAAAAUAUUAUUUCAAGCGAAUAUUGGACAAAAAUAACAUCCCUUGAACGAAAAUAAUAUUCCAACGAAUAUUUAACGAAGAUAAUAUUCCUACGAAUAUUGAACGAAGAUAAUAUUAUUUAUGAAUAUUGAACGAAAAUAAUAUUCAUACGAAUACGAAAAAUAAUAUCUCUUCAGAAUAUGAAAUAAAUAAUACCCCUUACCUUAGAAAAAGAUUGGAUACUAGAGUAGUGAAGUAGCAGACUACUCUUCUUCUAUCUCUCUAUAGCUUUUCUCUAUAUAGUUUUUCUCUCUAUAAUUACUCUUGUGAGUCUUAGUGAAUUGGUGAGAAUGAAAGAAGAAUGAGUUUCUAUUUAUAAGAAAACAUAGUUUCGAUAAUUGCACGUUUUGGGGCUCGAAAUAUUACAGUAUAAUACCUUUAUCUUUUCCUUCAUUUUUAAUUUAGUCCUGCAAGUAUUAUCAAACUUGCACCACCUCCCCAAAUAGUAUAUCAUGUGAAUCAAUAGUACAAUCAUGUGACUCAAUAGUUCUAUACAUGUGAAAAAACUAAUUACAGCAUAGUACCUUCAUCUAUACCUCCAUUUUUAAUUUAGUCAUGCAAGUAUUAUCAAUCUUGCACCACCACCCCUAAUAGUACAUGCAUGUGAAUCAAUAGUACACACAUGUGAACACAUAGUUAUAAGCAUGUGAAUUAAUAGCAAUUAAUUGCUAAUUUAUCCGAUUAAUUACCCGAUUGGUCAAUAUAACUUCCAGACAUCAAUUAUUAUCGAAAUAAAUAUCGAUUUUCACUAACACUAAUAAUCAUGUGAAUCAAUAGCAAUUAAUUGCUUAUUUAUCCGGUUAAUUACCCGAUUGGUCAAUAUGACCUCCAGACAUUAAUUAUCAUCGAAAUAAAUGUCGAUUUCUACUAACACUAAUAAUCCCAACACAAUGGAACUAUUAAUUUUAUCUUUAAUCAACAUGAACUUAUUCAUCAUUAUUGUGGUGUUAUGCAUAACGUGAAGUAUUGUAGACUGAUCAUCUAUAGUACUCGAUAUUUUUGGGUUAUCAGUUUAAUAUUGAUAACUCUAGUGGAAGUUCCAUAGUCCUUAGUGACUGCUUAGUAUAAAUUGCUUAUCCAGUUGGAUACAUUGUUAGUCGUUGAAUUCAUAUAUAUCUGUUGAUUUAUAUUGAAUUGUCAUAUCCCUUAUUCAUGAUGUUAUUCUGAAACUUUGAACUAUCCUAGAAAUAACCCUUCGAUAUUUCAAACCUUGUGAUAUUAUAUCUUACACCCUUGUUGUAUAUUACUUGCUGGGCAAUUUGUGCUCAUCAUUGCUUAUUUAAAACCUUUCAGUUAUGGAAGAACAGGGAGGUGUCUUUGGAGCAAAGAAGGGCAAGGGCAAGGCUACCGACUAGCUUGUCCUUUUUAUGUUUAAAGUUAUUAUGUUAUGUUAGGAUUAUUUAGGAUUAUGUAAUAGGUCUUUAUUCGAUACUAUUAUGUAAUCUAUUAAGUACUGUAGGUUACGAGACUUGGGAGAAUAAUUAUAAUAAAUCAUUGCAUAUUAUUCUAAAGUAAAUUUUCUGUUGUGUAUGCGUUAUUUUAGUUAUUAUGGUUUUACCAUGAGAAAGUAAUGAACCGAAUUCGAGUGACCAAGUGGAGGUCCGAAUUUGGGGGCAUCACAGGUUGGUAUCAAAGCCUUAGUUAUAAACUUUAGGAGCGAGUGUCCUUAGAUUAUAACUUAAGGGAACUUAGAAGUUAGGAAGGAGGUAAAACUCAUAUAGAGUUUUCCUAGAGAGGCUUAGUGUGUUAUGAAAUAUAACUUCAUUCUAUACAAUGAACUUAUGUUUAUUCUAAUGGAGUUGUUGUUUGUGUUGUCUUAUGUUGGUGAUUGUAGGAUGACUGACAUGGGAGGACCUAGCCCAGUAGUAGAGGAGGAGCCGCGUGAUAUCCACGAAGUAUUUGAGACACCCUUGAUAACAGAACCUAUUUCAGUAGUAGCCCCUUUUGAUGAUGACGAUGAGGAAGAGGUGGAGUAUGACCCUGAGGAGGAGCCUUUGGAGGAGGAGCCCGAGCCUAUGGAAGACUCCGACGAGGCUACCUUUAUGGAUCAAGUGUUAGGAGAGUAUGAGGAGCAGAUAUUGGAGUUGGGAUGUAGAGUAGAGGAGCUUGAGGCUGAGGCUAGGGAGAGGGAGUCUAUGUUCCAAAAGUUGAGGGACGAGGACCAUCGGAGGCAACUAGUGAUGCAGGAGAUGGAAGUGGAGAUUUCUCACCGUAAGUAAGUAGGGAUCCAGAUGGGAGCUUUGUUUCACCGAGCGGUGGCAAGGAAUGUUGAGGUGGCAGGAAAGCUAGAAGAAUUAGAACAGAAGGUGUUGAGUGAGAGGGCGGAGAAGGAGGCUCUCCGAACUCAGUUAGAAAUGGAGGUGAUGGAUAGGAUUCACUUCGAGGAGAAGUGGGAGGAGGCCAAUGAUAGGGCAGAUGACCUAGAGGAUGAGGUGCGGUGCAAGAGGAGGAAGAUGAACAAGAUGGGCUAUGCUCUUCGCAUGGCCAUGGAGAGAUUGAUAGAUGGGGUACAUCAUUACCCAGCUGAGCAAGGACAGAGACAUACCAUAAGCCGAGACAUGGUGGUGCACAUCACACAGAAGGAAUAUCAAAGCGCCAUUGAGCGUGGGAUGUUAGAUUAAGUAUAGAGGAUGAAGACCAGUAGUGUAGUAGUUUUAAUUAUGUGUUAUUAAUAUGUUGUGUAAUCUCAGUCUUUUAUGUAAGAUGUGAGAUAGUGGUAAACCCCCAAAUUUUUGAAAAGUACUAGAGGGGUAGUAAGAUAGUAUGUCCUUGUCUUUUGUGAUAUUAAGGGAUAUGUGUUAUCAUUUAUAGCAGUAUGCUAGAAAAGAACAUGUAAUGUAACCCUUUGGCAUAUGAAUAUAAAUGACCUUAUUUCAGAAACGUGUUAUAAACUUGUAGUUCGUUCUAUUGAGAAAUGUCUAAGUAUUAUAACUAGAUAAUAAAAUGAAAAUUUUGUGAUGCAGAAAAUGCCACCCAGACGGAGAAUAACUAUCCCAGAAGAGUCAGUUAACGAUGAGAGAGGUCCUGUAGAUCCGAUACAGAGACUGGUAGAUUUAUUGGGAGAAGCUUUGAGGGGAAGAAAUGAGCCCGUACCACCCGUUCCCCAAGCUGUCCCAGUAACGACCUUUAACAAUUUUAAGAGUGUAGGACCCCCAGAGUUCGCGGGAACCACUGACCCAAUAGUUACACAAACCUGGAUCAAGGAGAUCGAGAAGGCCUUCACUAUAGCUCGAGUGGGUGAAGACCAGAAGACAGUAUUUGCCACAUACAUGAUGAGGGGCGAAGCGAACUAUUGGUGGGAAACAAAUCAGCAGAGAGCGGGGGAAGGAACGAUAACAUGGGAGCGGUUUACGACGCUGUUUUUCGAGAAUUAUUUUCCAAAAAGUAUGAAGAGUAGGAUGGAAGUAAAAUUCCUAGAGUUAAAACAAGGUGAUAUGACGGUGGCGCAAUAAGCAACUAAGUUCAAUGAACUAGCGCGAUUUGCAGAACACCAAGUUGUGGAUGAGGAGAGGAAGGCGAGACAUUUUGAACAAGGGUUAAAACCGUGGUUGUACAAUAAGGUAUCAGUCUUCCAGAUUGAUUCCUUUAUGACAUUGUUGGAUAAGGCAAUCAUUGCGGAAGGUGGCAGUGAGGCCUUAAGUCUGUAUCAUAAGGAGAAGAAGAAUAAGAACGCUGGUAGUGAGCAUCGUGGAGGAAGCAGCAGUGGAGGGAGUAACUCCAGAAAGAGGAAAUGGGAAAACAACAACAACAGAAGUAACAAUCCAGGUGGGAAUCACCAAGGAAACUUCAAGAAGAAGACCGAAGCUUGUAACAAAUGUGGAAGAAGUCAUCAGGGAGAAUGCUGAAAGAGGAAGAACACCUACUAUAAUUGCAGCCAAGAGGGGCACAUAUCGCCAAACUGCCCGAAGCUGAAGAAAAUCAGAGGAUGUUUUGCUUGUGGGUCAAUAGAGCACCAGAUAAAGGAAUGCCCGAAGAAAGGAAGCGGUGGAGCUGGCGGAAGCCAAGGAGGAGGAAGUAAGUUGAUGAUUGGUGGACCUGCGCAACCCAACCGAUCGACCGCUCGAACUUGUAACAUGACCGUCCAAGACACCAUAGCUGCAAAGGACGUGGUGUCAGGUAUAAUCCCAAUCAAUAAUAUAAAUGCUUAUAUAUUAUUUGAUUCGGGUGCCACCUGUUCGUUCGUAUCUGAAGAAUUUGUUAAUAAACUUAGUACACCCCGAGAACGUUUAAAAGAUCCUUUGAACAUAGAAGUUGCGAAUAAGGAAAUAAUCCCUGUAGAAUACGUCUAUCGAAAUUGUCGCGUAAACAUUAGAGAACAUGAACUGAGCGUAGACUUGAUUCCUAUUAGAUUAGGAGAAUUUGACGUAAUACUGGGGGUGGAUUGGUUAUAUGACCAUGCAGCAGUAAUUGACUGUCAUAACAAAUGUGUGAACCUUCAGACUCCAGGUAAGUCUAAGGUAGUGUUUUAUGGUAGCUCAUUGCUUAAGCAAUCGUAUUGCGUUACGAUGAUGCAGGCCAAGAAAUUAUUAAAGAAAGGAUGUGUAGGUUAUUUAGCUUACGUUGUGGAUACUCGGAAAAAGGGAGUAGAGCUUAAUGAUUUACCCGUAGUGAGUGAAUUUCAGGAUGUAUUUCUGGACGAUCUGUCUGGCCUCCCGCCAGAUAGAGAAAUCGAAUUCGUAAUAGAUUUAGCACCGGGAACGACACCGAUUUUGAAAGCUCCAUAUCGGAUGGCGCCAGUAGAAAUGAAGGAAUUGAUGAUACAACUUCAAGAGUUAUUGGAUAAAGGUUGCAUUCGACCGAGUGUGUCUCCUUGGGGAGCACUAGUGUUAUUCGUGAAGAAAAAGGACGGAUCGAUGAGGCUCUAUAUCGAUUAUCGCGAAUUGAACAGAGUAAUGAUCAAGAACAGAUAUCUGCUAUCGAGGAUAGACGACUUAUUUAAUCAACUGAAAGGAGCGAAAUGUUUCUCGAAGAUCGACCUGCGGACGGGAUAUCACCAACUGAAAGUGCGGGAUGAGGACAUACCAAAGACUGCGUUUAGAACCCGUUAUGGACAUUACGAGUUUUUGGUAAUGUCAUUUGGUUUAACUAAUGCUCCGGCAGCAUUCAUGGACUUGAUGAAUCGAGUUUUCAAGCCAUACUUGGAUAAAUUCGUGAUAGUUUUUAUUGAUGAUAUUUUGAUCUACUCGAAGACGGAGGAAGAACACGCCAAACACCUGAAGAUUUUUUUGGAAGCACUACGAAAGGAGAAGAUGUAUGCGAAAUUUUCUAAGUGCGAAUUUUGGAUGAGGAAGGUUCAAUUCUUAGGCCACGUGGUGGAUGAGAAUGGAAUCUCAGUAGACCCCGAAAAGGUCGAAGCAAUGAGUAAUUGGGAACAACCAAGAACACCGACGGAGGUGAGAAGUUUCUUAGGGUUAGCUGGGUACUAUCGAAGAUUCAUCCAAGAUUUUUCUAAGAUAGCAACCCCAUUGACUAAUUUGACGAGGAAGACGGUGAAAUUUGUAUGGACCGACAAAUGUAAAGAGAGGUUUCAAGAGUUAAAGAAGAGAUUGAGCGAGGCGCCUGUAUUAUCAUUACCAGAUGAUACGGGAGGAUUUGUGGUGUACAGUGAUGCGUCGCAUAGAGGACUUGGUUGUGUACUUAUGCAACACGGCAAGAUUAUUGCGUAUGCAUCACGACAAUUAAAGGAUUACAAAAAAUGAUACCCUACUCAUGACCUAGAGUUAGCGGCCGUAGUUUUUGCGUUAAAGAUAUGGAGACAUUAUUUGUACGGAGAAAAAUGUGAGAUAUACACGGACCACAAAAGUCUGAAAUAUAUCUUCACACAGAAGGAGUUGAACAUGCAUCAGAGGAGGUGGUUAGAAUUAAUCAAAGAUUAUAACUGUGAAAUUCUUUAUCACCUGGGGAAGGCAAACGUAGUUGCUGACGCUUUGAGCAGGAAAGGAAGGGAGAAAUUAUUUCGACUGACAACUCAGGAGGAGUUAAUAAGAGAUAUGGAGAAAUUGGAAAUAGAAGUGAGGGGACCCGAGAGGUCUGCAGAAAAGUUAUUUGUAAUAGAAGCUUGUCCGAUAUUGUUGGAUAGAGUAAAGGAAGCCCAGGAGAAAGAUGGAGAGUGUGAGUAAAUCAGAAGAAGGAUCGUGAAAAAAGAGGAAGAAAAAUUUCGAAUAGAUAAAGAUGGUAUCUUAAGAUUCGAAGGGAGAGUAUGGGUACCGGUAGUGGCCGAGAUAAAAGAGGAGAUUUUACACGAGGCUCAUAAUACGACGUAUUCCAUUCAUCCGGGAAGCACGAAGAUGUACCGGGACUUGAAGCAACAUUUUUGGUGGCCAAAUCUAAAACGGAAAAUUACAGAGUACGUUAGUAGAUGUCUUACGUGUCAACGUGUAAAAGUAGAGCAUCAGCGACCGAGUGGUUUGCUACAACCGUUGGAAAUACCAGUGUGGAAAUGGGAGCAUAUUACGAUGGUUUUUGUGGUAGGACUUCCAGUCACACAGAAAGGUUUGGAUGCCAUUUGGGUCAUCAUGGAUCGACUUACGAAGACUGCACAUUUUCUACCUAUCAAGAUCCGUUACAGUUUAAAUCAAUUAGUGAGUCUAUACGUAAAGGAAAUUGUUUCACGACAUGGAGUGCCGGUGUCGAUUGUUUCUGAUCGAGACUCGUGUUUCACGUCAAAAUUCUUGAAAAGCUUGCAAGAGAGGAUGGGAACACAGUUGAGAUUGAGUACUGCUUAUCAUCCUCAGACGAUUGGACAAAGUGAACGAACAAUACAAACGCUAGAGGACAUGCUUAGGACCUGAGUGAUGGACUUUAAGGGAAAUUGGGACGACCACUUACCCUUAGUUGAAUUUAUGAAUAAUAAUAGUUACCAUGCGAGUAUCGGCAUGCCACCAUAUGAAGCUCUUUACGGAAGGAAGUGCAGAAUGCCGUUAUGUUGGGACAAAGUCGGAGAACGACGAGUACUCAGGCCAGAGUUAGUACAACAGACUGCAGAUGUGGUGAAAGUGGGCCAGACUUGUAGCAGCUCAAGAUCUCCAGAAGAAGUACGCAGACUUGCAUCGGCAAGACCGAGACUUUGAGGUUGGCAGUUUUGUAUUCUUGAAGGUAUCUCCAUGGAAGGAAAAAAUCCGUUUCGGCAAGAAAGGAAAACUGAGUCCAAGAUUCAUAGGACCAUUCGAGAUACUACAACGAGUGGGCGAAGUAACGUACAAAGUUUCACUACCACCUGAGUUGGAACACAUCCAUAACGUGUUUCACAUAUCCGUGUUGCGUCCGUACAAGCUUGACUACAAGCACGUGAUUUCUUAUGAACCCAUUCAAGUGGAGAAGAAUUUAGCGUACGAAGAAAUUCUUGUCCAAAUUCUAGAUAGGAAAGAGCAAACCUUAAGGAAUAAAGUUAUUUCUUCUGUAAAAGUACUUUGGCGUAACCACAAUGUCGAGGUGGCAACGUGAGAGUUAGAAGAUAGAAUGAUGAGGGAUUAUCCCCAUCUGUUUGUGUAACCUUGUAGCAAUUCCGGGACGGAAUUUUUAUAAGGGGGGGAGGAUGUAAUACCCGAGAAUUUUCGCGUGUUAUUAAAUAAAUAUAUUAAUGGAAAUAAAUAUUUAUUUGAAUAUGAACAAUUUCGUAUUAUGAAAUGAGAUAAAUCAAUCAUAUUAAUAAAUGAAUAAUUGAGAAUACGUGGAGUUUGUGGUAGACUCGUUGAAAGCCUUGUGAGGCAUGGUGAUGGAAAUUCAAAUAGUAAUGACAAGCAGCGAAGAAAUUAUGAGAUGAGCAAUUAAGUAAUAUUAAUUGUUAAGUGUUGUUGUAGUAUAUUUAUGGAUUUUUAAUUGAUAUUAAUAAGGUCGGUUAAUAUGUGAUUAUUAAUUAUUAUUUAAUUGAUAAUGGUUGUGGUGGAAUAUUGAUUUCUUGGCAAUUAUUAAUAAUAGGUGAUAUAUGGAUAAGUAAUGAUUAUGGAAAACCCAUAAAUGGGUGGAUUAAUUAAUAUUGAUGUUAAUUAAUUAAGGAAGUGCAUGGUUAAUUUAUUUAACAUAAGUGAGUACAUUAGUAAUAUAAUAAUAUUAUAUUGAUAGUUAUGUGCAUGUGAACAAUAAUACAAAAAUAACUAUAUGGUGCAGUGUGACAUCUAUGUGGCUAUAUAUAUUAAGUCUUAUAAAAUUAUAUUGUUUGGGCAUUGUGACUAUAUAUAUAUUGGAACUAUAUGGUAUAAAUAUAUUAUAAAAUGUGUAGGUAACAAUAUGAAGGUGAGUAGAUAUUUAAUAUAUAAUUAUAUGAAUGGUAGAAAUAAUUAUGGAACUGUCCGGACAAUAAUAUCUGACUGCAUUAUUCUAUUGCUUAUAUUUACUGUACAUGGAUUAUAUGAUGUGAGUGUAUAAUUUAUCCCUAAAAUCCUAAUAUGGUAACGAUUGUACAUUAAAAUUUCAUUAUGGGGAUUUAAAUAGACCAAACUAAGUCUAGAUAACUAGAUUGCUGAGUUCUCUUUUUUUUUGUCCCAAAAUGAAAGUCACCAAGCACAUGAACAGUAGCUGAGUUUGAUUUCACGUCUUCUUCCACAAGGCUAAAUCCUAGAUGAUCAUGGCUAGUUAGGUGGUUGGUAUGGAGUGGUUGAACCACCCUCCUUGAACCAUUGUUUCAUUGCAUUACACCAUGAGCUCAAGUUUUGUGUAACACCGAUACCCAGUCCAAAACUUUUCUAUAAAGAGCAGCCAUGUUCAUUAGUUGAUGUUUUUGAAAUUCUCUGAGAUUUUGCUAAGUAAGAGUGGGAAGCACACAAGCAUUCUUAGAGUUUAAGAGUUCAAGUAAUAGCAAGUUCUUUCACAUUACAAAGGUAUAAUUCCAUUCUUUGCUUUCCAUUUUCGUUUCUGUUAACAGAGUUCAUAAGUGUUGAAAUUCAAAUUCUUGAAUUCAUGGAUUUGUAUGUUAAUGAGGCUGGGUAAUGUCCAUAUAGAUGCUAUAUGAUCACAUAAGCUUGUUGCAAUCGGUUUAUAACUGUUUAAAACCCAUUUGGUGAAUAAAUUUUGGGAUUUGUCUAGUCAGUUGCCGAAGCAGACUGUUCUGCGCCUGAACUAGGCACGGCGCAGCUGCGCCACAUUUGUAUUGAGGCGCAGUGCAGCUGCGCUGGUUGCUGAACUCAGUUGAGCAAUCUGUUUUCAAAUCUAAUCAUGAGUAGCUAGUUGUUUUGACUUAAGCUAACAUGUGAACAUGUGUAUGAUGUAUAUUUGGAUAUGUUGACCUAAUGUGAGCAUGUUUUCAUAGACUUGCAUGAUUAGUGGAGACAUGUGGUUUAAAUGGAGAUUUGAACCUUAAGUUUUGAAAACCAACUAUGCUAAAGAUCAUGUUCUACAAAUUGUGAACCUAGCGAGCUAUGCAUGACUGAUUUUGCACAUAGAUGAGCAUGUUGUAGUGUACAUAGUCCGUUGAGCAUGAUAAAACUUGUUAAGCCUUAUGUUAGGAAUAUUUUCAAGGAAAGACUUAGCCUAGUAUGCUAACUUGUAUGAUUUCUACAUGUGGUAUAUUCUGACUUUGCAAAGCAUGUUAAUGUGACUUAAACAUGCAUGAAUAAACCUUCAGCUUAUGCUUAAGUGAUUAGCAAAGAAGCAUGAACAUGUUGUAUACUUUACAAAUGAAAAUAUGACCUUUGAAUAGGAAUAUUAUCAUGUUACCUUGAGGACUAGAAUCUGACAUUUGUGAUCAUAUUUAAUGACUCUCUUAGACUAACUCAUGUAGUGUAACCAUGGAUAUACUAUGCUUGUAUGUUAUAUUUCAAGAAAAGCACGAACAAAGCAUAUUUUCAACUAAAGCGGUGAUUAGUUUCACGUAUGUGUUACGAAUACACACAAGCAUGUAUAAUAUGAGUGUUGUAACUAACUUGUAUGAUUUAGAAAGCAAGCAUGCUAGACUUUGUGGUUUCAUGACCUUGAAUGACUUUAAAUUAUUGAGAUGAUCGAACUUAGAACCAUGAUAUACAAGAAAGGGCCUAGAUUGAUCUAAGAAGCAUGUGAAAGCCUUUAACAUGUCAAAAUACAUUAAGUAUGAGUGUGCGUUCGAGACCGGACAGAAUCCACAAGGCAGCAGCUGAGUCUUGGCAGGUCAGGGGACGGCGCAGCUGCGCCGGUCCUAGGCCUAGCCAUGGCGCAGCUACGCCAGUCUGGAAUCCCAGAAAAUGAAUUCUGAUCUUUUGGACAGUAACUUACAUGAUACUUAUGAUGCUAAAUGUGAUCUAAAACCUACUGAUGUACAUAUAUAUGUGUGAUGCUUAGUUGAUAAGUCGGUGUUGCAUUGAAAUGAAAAGUCCAUGAGUAAAGGAGGUCCUAACCUUGAGCAUUCUUGAUUUGUUUAUAAAAUGACUAAGUGUUUGGUUCAUGAUUACUUAUAAACUGAUUUUGUACCAUAUAUGCAUACUUGUAUCGUGUCAAGCUUGAUUAAAGACUGUGUUAGCUAAUUAACAUCUUGAUCAUAUAAUGCGUUAUAAAUAGGAUUCGAAAGUGUUGAUUUAUUAACGUGGAUAAACUACGCUUAAGGCAAGUUCCCUAAACUUACUCUAAUUAUUAUUGAGCAAGUUUCCUUGAACCUUACUUUUAUUGAGCAAGUAUUCAGACCCUAUUAUUAUUGUUGUGCAAUAUCAUUGCACUAUUUACUCGGCCAAUACCGUAAGCUUAUCCUUUUGAAUAAUAGUUAGAUUACUUUGUUAAACCCUUGUGAAAGAUAAUAUUCAUGGUUAAAUUGGCAUUGUCCUUGAAUAUUGUGAAAGAGUCGAUGCCAUUUGAUUCGGCUAGACUAUAUGCAUGUUUAUAAUAAAACUGUCCAAACCAAUUGAUUGGUGCAGAAAUCUUGAAAAUUGAGUUGGACAACCCUUUUGGUAAGGGGAGUGUAUGUUGUUGGAAACCCCAACACAUGAAUAAAUAUUAUUGUGGUGUUAUGCAUAACGUGAAGUAUUGUAGACUGAUCAUCUAUAGUACUCGAUAUUUUUGGGUUAUCAGUUUAAUAUUGAUAACUCUAGUGGUAGUUUCAUAGUCUUUAGUGACUGCUCAGUAUAAAUUGCUUAUCCAGUUGGAUACAUUGUUUGCCGUUGAAUUCAUAUAUAUCUGUUGAUUUAUAUUGAAUUGUCAUAUCCCUUAUUCAUGAUGUUAUUCUGACACUUUGAACUAUCCUAGAAAUAAUCCUUCGAUAUUUCAAACCUUGUGAUAUUAUAUUCUACACCCUUGUUGUAUAUUACUUGCUGGGAAAUUUGUGCUCAUCCUUGCUUAUUUAAAACCUUUCAGUUAAGGAAGAACAGGGAGGUGUCUCUGGAGCAGACAAGGGCAAGGGCAAGGCUACCGACUAGCUUGUCCUUUUUAUGUUUCAAGUUAUUAUGUUAUGUUAGGAUUAUUUGUGGACUAUGUUAAAGCUUAAGUAGGAUUAUGUAAUAGGUCUUUAUUCGAUACUAUUAUGUAAUCUAUUAAGUACUGUAGGUUGCGAGACUUGGG